GGUGGGUAUCUUGUACCCCUAAUUCUACUGUCGGACACUUGUCCAUUUUUACCUCUCGUCUCACUUUUUCUUUCUUUCGAGGUUCCGGGCACUUGCCCCUUUUUAUUUCCUCGUUUAUUUUUUUUCCUUUCUUCUCUUUUCUUUUCUUUUUUUUCAGAGCACUCAUCUCUUGAGAUAAUAUAGCAAGUGGUAGUAGCAAGAUAAAUUGAGCAUUUAUUUCACAAGGGAAAACAGAAAUAUUUUUGGCUAUUCUCUCCCGGAUUAGGAGUAGAAUAUUUUUGGGUGGUUCUGGAGAUGGACAUGGAUGGAUAUAUAUGGAUGGUACUUCCAGAGUAGAAGUAGCAUAUAUGAGUGAACGUGAAAGAGAAUCUUGAUUUAACCACAUGACAAGCUCCUAAGGGUCUACACAGCUUGACUACACUCAAUACUCAUAAGCAGUAAAUAGUAAAUGUGUGGCUCAAAGUCUAGCAAGCAUGUAUAUAUGGCUGUGGUAGGAAUUUAAACUCUCAUCAUACAGGAACUCAUCAUGCAAUAUUUCAAAGAUAAAAUUCUAUAGAAUUCUAGCAUCUCUAGGAACAGAUAAACAGCAGCUCAACCUUCCCAUAUCAUAUCCGUUAACAACUUAGAUUUCAGAUCAAAUUUUCAUCCCACAAGUUUAGAUCUAGAGCAAGCUUUAAAUUAUAACAGUUAUGUAUAAACUUGAGAGAGAACUUCAAAUUUACAAAUUAGGCAGAGCAACUAUUCAUUAUGUCCAUGCUAGAGUUUUAUUAUUAAGAUUCAGAUUAGCAUAGCCACUUUAUUUAUUUAUUAAACACACUAAGCAAAAGAUAUAUAUAUAUAUAUAUAUAUAUAAGCACAAAAUCUUUAUUUGGUUUUUUAUAGUUUAUGUAUUUUAAUAUUCUAACAUAAUAUAAGUAUAAAGAUAGGUAGAAAUACUUAGCGGGAUAAAUGGGGGUGCUCUCCCCCAAGCUGAAUUUUGACGUAGUUUCUCUUGAUGUAGCUAGCAGGUGGCAGAGGUGUAUUUGAAAGUCAACAGCAUUCUGACAGCGAUUAGAAUGUCCUCCGUCUGCUAGUCUUCUUGAUUCUUAAAUUCUGUGGAGCUCAAAUAGACAACAAAGCUUGUGGAACUAAUUAAGUGUUAGCAUAAAUAUCUAGCCUUCAUCAUGUUGAGCUUCCUCAAUAAAUAUUACUCCCUAUUUUUAUAUUUUUAUUUUAUAAAGCAGAAAAGAAAUAUUUAUUUUAUUUUUAUGCCACCACAGUGAAGGUACUUAUGGGUUUUAUGCCACUCGUAUACUCACAUGGGGCUUAGUAUUUUUUAACAUUUUUAUUUUUCUUUUCAAGAGAGCAUGAUUAACUAAUAAUCUAUUUAAGGAAAGUAAAUAAUUAAAGGGAAAAAGAAAUGCAGAAAGGAUAAAUAUGGAUAACUACCGAUCUUACCUUCCGGCGAGGGUUCAAUGUUUUAAGUCUUCUUAACAAGACUUCUCACUGUGUUCAUUCUUCAGGUGCGUCAUUUGAUUCAGGUGCGGACCUUGACGUCUGCACCUCUUCGUUUGCCUAGCAGUUCAAAGUGCGGCGUUGACAGUGUCCUGCUCAGUGUGUUUGUGCUCGUAGAUCCAGGUCCUUCACUUGGUAGAGUCUGAGAGUUAUAAAACUCCUCCAUGUUUUGCUCGAAGUGUACCUACUCAUAGAGACAAGGCAGAGAUCAAGUGCAUGGGUCCUGUUGAUGGAAAACACCAACAGAACUAAAGUGUAUUUGUUCUUCUCUAACCCUAAGCAUAGUGAGCAAGACAAAGUUGAUGGAUGAAAAGUUCAUGAGUGUAGCACUUAUAACAUUUGUCAGAUCAGAUCGCUCAACCUUAUGGAAAGAUAAUCUAUCUAUGUAUAUGUCUUUUUCUUUAUAUCUCUCAAUGAUUGAAUGUGUAACAUUUUAGCUCAUAUGAUUAGGAGUGUGGGAUCAUGGAGGUAGUACUAAGAACAAGGAUUAAAGGACUAAACAUGUUGAAUCAGUUGGGUUGAUUAAUCUAGAGUUGUAAAUCAUACAUGUUUGUCUCUUUUAUUUAUAUGAACGCCAGAACCAAGGAGAAGCUUAUAAAAGUGAUAGUCAAGUACCUUAAGAUGUUACCUUGCUUGAAGAGUGAUGGUACAGUAUCACCUUGUGGAAGCUUUCCUUCCUUAGCGGUUGUGCAUCGUGUUUGUGGCACCCUCCAUGGAUCAUCUCUCUAUGAUGAAUGAGAUAUGUCCUUCUUGUGCAAAUUGUUAAACUUCAUGUGUCACUCUCUUCGUCUCUAAUGUGAGUUUAUCUCAGGACUUCCCAAAUCGAUAUUGAAAGUUUUUCUGUAGGGGUUAGUCCGACAAAAAUAUACCAAUGUCUACACAAGCAGUUUUUAGUUCAAUAACCGAACUAGACUCCAUGUCUAAUCAGAUUAAGGAGGGCUAUUUAACCUAAGCACCAUGCUUAAUUUAAAAGCCAAUAGAAGUAUGUGCAAUACUUCCAAACUAACACUUACUAGUAAAUAGACAAAGGUAACAUGACAACAUUUAUAGAGAUCUUCUCAAGUGGAGAUGAAGUAGUGUGAUUAGUAUUUAACAAAUUGAGCAUGUCUUAAAGGUAGGGACAACCAACAUAGCAACAUGGCAAAGGAUGUUUUUAUGUAAAGUACUCCCCCAAGCUUGAAUUUUGCAGAAUUCAAGUUUGGAUGAAUUUAAUUCAGUGUUGCAUGAUGAUUGGUUGGACAUACCUUGUACUUGCUUGUCAUUCAUCUGAUCUUCUUGUUCCAAUCCUGGAAAGGUUAGUGACAAGAAUACCCGAAGGAAUAUUUUUACAAUUAUCCUUAUAUGCUCAAUACACAAGGUAAAUAAUUAAAAACUCAUGUUAUGAUCUGAUCAGUGCUUGUUUUUAGGACACCAAGCUUGUCCUUGGGAAACCAUCAAUUUAUGUUGGCGAAGUGGUUUUCCUUCCAACGCUGACCUAAAUCAACUCAACGAGAUCUGCAAUAUUUAUUAUAGACAUAUGCAUCGACAACCGCCCUUUUAAAGUUUUUAUAAAUAGAAAGGAAGAGGGGGUUGGAGAUCUCAAAUGUGGUGAUGUUGGAGAGACCAAUAGAUUGGGAAGAUGUUGCAUAUGAGCAUGGAGUAAACAAAGUGGCUAUGAAAUAAAUUCCAUGCUCAUUAAUGUUAUCUUCGUCUCUAAUCUGAAUGUUCAGAGUUUCUCUUGGAUUGGUCUCACUUAUCUCCUCUUCUAUAGUUGGAUGAAUCCCAUCUUCAAAGGGAGUCAAGAACUCACCAUUUGAAAUUGAACCAAAGUCAGAAUUCAUUAAGGCUUCUUCCUUAUCCAUCCAUUCUACACAUUCUAGCCAUUUAGAACUUGUGAUUAGGAAAGGGGAGGUGUUAGAAUUUUCAAUAUGGCUUAGCUCUCCUUCACUUGAUAUGUCAUCCUUGACUUCUUCAUAACAGGAACCAGGACAUUCUCUAAGAGAACCAUUAUUGCGAGGAUUUGAAUUAUCCCUGCUUGAAGGUCUCUUAUGGAACCAGAAGUCUAAACCAUCAGCAUCUGAAAGAUUUAAGGUCGGAAUUCCUUCCUCUCUUGGAGAAUUUUGGGGUAUUGAUGGUUUAGGAUCGAUAGCUAAAGUUUGGAAUUGAAGUGGUUGUGAUCUGGCUAUCGAAACUUCUUCUUCUUGUCUAGGAACUGGUUCUGUCUCUUUCUCAGGGAUAUAAAAGCUAGGAGACUUUCCACUUAAUAAAUCAAUCAGAUUCCAAGCUUCACUAGCAGGUAGGUGAUAGAAGGAUCCUCUAGAGGCUGUAUUCAAGGUUUGCUUAUUUUCCCCACUAAGGCCCUCAAAAAAGUGAAUUAGAAGAACUUCUUCUGGAAUAGAAAGCUUUGGGCUAGUGAGAGUAAGGUUAAUAAAGCGGUCCCAUGAUUUGCCAAGAGAUUCUUCUUCCAGUUGUCUAAAAGAAAUAAUCUCACGCCGAAGUUUCGCCACUUUGGAGAUUGGAAAAUAUUUAGAAAGAAAACUACUAUAUAACUCCUUCCAAUCUCCAUGAACACUCCCUAUUUUGAGUUUGUACCAAUGUCUAGCUUUUCCCGUUAAAGAGAACGGAAAGAGCUUCCAUUUAAGGGUCUCAUCGGACAUUCCUUCUAUGCGAAGGAGGUCACAGACUCGAUAAAACUCUCUUAGGUGUGUGUAUGGGUUUUCCUCACCUUCUCCUGAGAAAGGUUGUUUUUGAACAAAUUCUAUGUAUUCGGGGUCUAUCUCAAAACUAGAUGCUAUGAUAGGCUUUGAAGAUUUUGGUGGUUCGAGAUGUGUGCCCGUAGGUCUAUGAAAUUCAUAGAUAGACAUAUUUGAAUUCAUGAUAGACCAGAGAUCAAGAAUUAGAUAAGAAGAAAGAUUAGCAGAGAUGAAGCAAAGGAUAAAAGGAAAAUAUAUAUUUUUUUAUUAUAUAUAUUUUUUUAUUUUUUUAGAAAAUGAUUAAGCUAGUUCGUAGUCAACUCAGCAACCGUCUGCCCGGCAACGGCGCCAAAAAUGCUUGUUGACACUUGCUAGCACCACUUGAAUACUAGGUUGUCAUCCCCAGCAUGGCACUAGAGUGUACUAUGAUAUUUAUACGCACACAGAUAAUCCGCAAGCGCAUGGAUACCGUUGAAGCUUUUAUCCGGUUAAAGGUUUUAUCGUAUCCACAGGGAAACAGGAGAACUGAUCUACGCUCUAACUUAACCAAGAUAAGUAAAUAAGUGUAAAUAGGAAAGAUGGUAGAAUCGAAUAAGAACAAUAUUAAAGGUAAGAUAACAGUGAGUGAUAAUAUGGGAAUAGAGAGUAGAGCAAUCUAGUAUAUGGGCGAUGGUAGCAGAAUAGAGAGGAUAACUAUGGUUUCUCUACUUCAAAGGGGUAUGUCUAUGUCUGGGACGAACCACGUGAUAAGAUUACACCACAAAGGAUGCUUAUCCAUAGGCCGAUAAACCCUACCCGUCCUGCUAACGGGAGGUGGACUAUAGAGGACCAACGUAACUGUUACCUACACGGCCUACCACACGAUCCAGCUAGACAGGGGAUAUCCACAAGUAAUUUAGAUCUAAGCACCUCGCUUACACCUAUACUACAACUCUCACCUAUAGCGUCCUAUAGAUUAGAAGUACUCAAAAGAGUUGUGAACCAGAACAUACAUGAUUAGUAAUUGCAUAAUGAAUUAGAAGUAGAUUACCACAGUCAUCCCAUGAGCAAGCUUGAUUAGAGCUUGAUCAUGACGAAGUACAACCGGAGGAAGAACCGACAGGCCGGCCUCUCCUUCAAUCCUCCCUCGCUCUCCAUCUUGCUACUAUCUAGAUCUACUCUAGUUUAGAGAAGAGAGGAGAGCUCUCAUCUCUAAACCCUAGCUUUUCCUCUGUCUAUGAAUAAUGAAUAAUGAUCAAGGGGUGCCUCCUCCAGGGGCUAGGGGGUCUAGUUAUAUAGUCCCCUCAAGUGAACUUGGGCCGUCAGAUCAAACCGACAUUGAUUGAACGGUUAUUCUUGAUCCUUUAGGUCGGUGGAGAUCUCCCGAGAGAAAGAGUCCUGAUUGGGCUCCAAGUCAGGGCGGGCGCCCAGGGCAGGAGGGCGGGCGCCCUGCCUCUGGCCCCGUUCGGCCUCCGCUUCCUUCCCGUGGCUUCUGGAGGCUUCUAGAUGUAAGAUAAUUGCGUGGCACAUUAAUAUCUCUAUGUAAUCCCGACGUGUGGGCCUUUCUUCCGUAUUUCCUGAUAACCCCCUGCAGAAAUAGACAAACACCAAAACUGUUGGAAUUCUGUCAGAUAAAACCCUAAGUCUAGAUGUUGAUUUCAUUUGGAUCAUUUUCUUUGUUUAUUUGAUAAUUAAAUUUGAUACUUAAGGACCGUCAACAAUACUCCGUAUGCUAGAGCAGAAUCUAGAUAGGACUUUUCAUUUCUUCAACCACACACACAUCGCAUGUUUCGCUUCAUUGUGGAGGUUGCAGCUUGCUGCCAGGAGGUGGUACUUCCCAUUUUCUAGCCUAACAAGGUGAAGUUCUUCUUUUAUGCCCAACUAUACCAUGUCUAAGCGUGAAUUUAAUCCUUCCUUUGUCUUGCCCUUCAUGUCCAACAAGGUGCCAGUUACGCUUUCAAACACGUUCUUCGGAACGUGCAUACCAUCGAUCGUGUGGCGUACGUCUAACUCUGGCCAAUAUUCCAAAUACUCGAAGAAAAUCGAUUUCUUCUUGAAUGUAGCCCCUGGAGCUGGUUUGACAUUCUUUCUUGGUUUUCCAUCUUUUGUCUUCUUCCCAAAAACACAUUUGAGUUUGCUGACUAUGCUGAAAACUCUUUUGCCUUUACUAUUACCUGAUGGAGCAGUAGACUGUAGUUCACUAUUAUUGUCAAAGUACUUAUCCAUCUUUUUCUGCCGGUACAUGUGUCCUUUUGAUAAGAAGCAUUUGUGCCUCAUGUACACUAUCUUCUUAGAUGCAGUUAGGGACACGUAAGCGGUGCCAUCUAUGCAUACCACACAACCAAGCUUUCCCUUGAACUGCCCUGAUAAUGUAAAGAGAGCUGGGUAGUCAUUGAUCGUAACAAAGAUAAUUACUCUUAGUGUGAAUGAUUCUUUGCGGUACUCGUCCAACAUUUGAACACCUGUUUCCCACAGUAUAUUCAUGUCCUGCAUUAAGGGCUCCAAGAAAACAUCCAUAUCAACUCCAGGCUGUGUAGGUCCAGAGAUAAGGAUGGUUAGUAAAAGGUACUUUCACUUCUACAUCAACCAUGGAGGGAGGUUGUAGAUGGUGAGGAUCACUGGCCAUGUGUUGUGCUUGCUGCUCCUCUCAGCAAAUGGAUUCAUUCCGUUAGUACUCAGUGCGAAUCUAACAUUCCUUGGUUCAUUAGCAAAGUCCUUGUGGUUUUCAUUGAAAUCUUUCCACUGCUGGCCAUCGGCUGGGUGCUGAAGCUUUCCAUCGUCUUUGUGCUCAUCAGAAGCAUGCCAGCUCAUAAGUUGGGCAUCCUCUGGGUUAGCAAACAAACACCUCAAUCGAUCGACCACAGGAAGGUACCACAUCAUCAAAGCAGGAAUCUUUUUCCGCGCAUAAUAGUCUACUUCUUUCUUUUUCUUUGACGGUGGGUUUUGAACUACUCUUCUGGGUCUUUUGUUGGGCCUUCUUUCAUUUAAUUCUCUUAGGCACAGAGGCAACACACUCUUCAUUUGUGUAGUCUUUAUUUGUCUUGUACCUACUUGCAGCACACUUGGGAUAGCUGUCAAAGUCCCUAUAAUCAUCACCUCGAUAUAGGAUACAGUGAUUUCUACAAGCGUGGAUCUUCUCAACACCCAUUGUGAGUGGGCUGAUUAGCUUCUUUGCAUAAUACGUGUUAGCAGGCACUUUGUUAUCCUUAGGAAGCAUGUGUGCGAUAAUGCUCAAGAACGCAUCAAAGCCAGCAUCAGAAAGACCAUAUCUAGCUUUGCACACCAACAACUUUAGCACAGACCGCAGCGUCAUGAACUCUUUGGUGCAACCCUUGGACUCAUCAUACAAAGGCUCUUCUGCUACCUUCAUUAGGGCCUCCAUACCUUCCGCAUGACGACACAACAUUGCCUUUAGAAAUUCUGCAUCUUCCGCAGCCAUAUUAGUUUUGGUGCCAUCUUCAUUUCCUCCAGCAAAACCAUGAUCAAUAACAUUUGGCACAACAUGUUCAGUGGCUAGACCAUCGGUAUCAGGUUGUUGUGUCUCGUGUAUGAACUAAACCCGUCAACAAUUCCAGUUGUAUAAGGCACAGAGCUACCCUCUCCAUGCUUUGUCCAAAUUAAGUAAUCCUUCAUAAAUCCUCAACGGACCAGAUGAGUAAGGAUUUGUUGAAUGUCAUCAGAUACAACAAGAUUUCUACAAUCCAUGCAUGGACAAUGUAUGUGCGUCUUUCUUGUUCUUGAAGCAUGGUUUUUAGCAGCAUCAAUAAACCUCUAGACCUAAGUUAUGUAUGAUGGAUCUAGUCUUGAUAAAUUAUACAUCUAGAAUGACCUCUCCAUCACUACCUGUAAAACACCAUUCAUGAUCUAAGGUUUACAAAGGAUUUUAUCUAGGGUUUAUUAGCUAGGGUUUAUGGUUUAGCUUGAGAUUAAAGGAAAAAAUCUAAGUUACAUAAUUAAAAAAUCUAAGUACAUAGCAUAAUUAUAGAAACACACAAUUCAUUAGAAAUAUAUUGAUGUGAAAAAAAUUAAUUGAGAAAUAAGGAGAGAUAUUGAAGUAAAAAACCAAAGUACCACAUAAUUGAAAAAACCAAAUCUACAUUUCUCUCUCUACAUAAAUAUACAAGAACACACCAUUGAUUCAAUCUUACAUUUCUCUCUCUAAAAUUGAGAAGCAAUCAUGAAAAUAGAGAGAGGAGAGGCAUUAUCCAACCAUAUUAAGCAACCCCAUCUAACCAUAUCAACAAAUAAAGACAAGAAGCUAGCUAUUCUUCUCUCUCACUCAUAGAACAUACAUACAUGUGGAUAAAUAGAUUGAGAAAUUUAUAAAGAGAGAGAGAGACAUAAAUUAAAAAACCUAAGUAUAGCAUAAAUAUAUAAACACAACAUUCAUUAUAAAUAGAUAGAUGAUGUGGAAGGUCAUAAUAAAAAACCUAACUACCAUAUAAUUAAAAAAAUAAAAAAUCAACAAUUAUCUCUCUACAUAAAUAUACAAGAUCACACCAUUGGUUUAAUCUUGUAAAAACUAGCCAAAUUGAGAAGCAAAACAUGUUGAGGGGCAUUAUCCAACCAUAUUAAAUAACCCCAUCUAACCAUAUCAACAAAUAAAGACAAGAAGCUAGCUAUUCUUCUUUCUCACUCAUGGUGAAACCCUAGAUUCAAAAAGUGGCUCAAAUUGAGCUAGAAUGAGCAAAUUAAGGCAAUAGGGACAUAAACUAACAUUUUUUAGCAACCUCCUUCCCAGAAAUGGAGAUCAAAACCUCCCCCUUGUAUUUUGAGAAAUCUGGACCUCUAAAAUCGCUUCCAAUGGAAGGUGGGUGCGAGAUACUGUUCUGGUCAAGGAGAAAGAAGGGGUAUUUAUACAGAGAUACCAUAGACGGUUGCUUAAGCCAACCGCCUGUGGAAACAUUUUUGCACAGGCGGCCGACUUAAGCCAAUCGCCAGUGUAAAUGCUCCAUUUACACUGGCGGUUGGCUUAAGUCGUCCGCCUGUGCAAACUGAGUAUCACAGGCGGUUGGCUUAAGUCAACCGCCUGUGAUAAUCAGUUUGCACAGGCGGCUGGGAUAUCUGACACUGCCCAUUUAUACCACAGGCGCGUCGUAACUAGAACCGCCUGUGGUAUAAAAAGAGGUGCCAGCUCAAGAUGGCAACGGGUACCCGAAACCUGAGUACCCGACGGGUUUCACCCGAUAAAGAGGUGGGUAUGGAAUGAUUUUUCUACCCGUGGGUAUGUUAUUGGGCAAAAUCCUAUACCCAUCGGGUAUGGCGGGUACGGGUGUGGGUGUUCACUACCCAUACCCGCCUACCCGCGGGUAAAAAAUACCCAUCAAAAUAACUAGCCACCUUUGUCAUUUUAGCCUAUAUAGCACAUGAAUUUGGUCUAAGUCCAACUAAACUCUCCUAAUAUAUAUGAAUAUGAAUUUGAUGUUGUCAUAUGAAUAUUAGUUUGUAACUUGUUGGAGGCUUAAUAUGAUUUUCUUUGUGUAAAUAUAUGAUAUUUAUAUGUAAUUCUUGGGUAUACCAGCGGGUGCGGGUUACCCGUCGGGUAGAAAUUACCCGUGGGUGCGGGUAUGGAAUUAUUUUCCUACCCAUGUGCGGGUACGGGUAACCCGACGGAUUAAAUUUAGACUUCGCGGCUAUGGGUACGGGUGGCCACUACCCAUCAGGUACGUACCCGUUGCCAUCUAUAGUGCCAGCUAUGAGCCCGAUUGUACUAGUGGACCCCGAAUGUGUGUGAUGUGUUUUUUACAUAGCGAAGUAUAAAGACCGCAACUGACUUUUACUAUUUCCUUUAAUCAAAUAAGUUUACCCGUUCUCAAGUUUAAUUAGGUUGUACCGUGCUUGUUUGAAGUGGUGCUCAGAAAUCGUGGAGCGAUGCAUGUGUCAGGAUGCGAUGCCAGCUUUAUUAAAAAAAAUCAUUUCCUUGCGGCUGGAGCGAGCAUGUAACAGGAAAUAUAGUCAGGCAAGUGAUCUUUUUUAUGUGUAACUGGUUGGUUCCACGUGGGUCCGAGAGUGAUGCUCACCACUGCGACGUUUCUUUUUUUUUUUUUUGAUCAGCACUGCGACGUUUCAAGCACCCGAUGCCAAAAAUUGAAGUGUACACUUUUUUCGUAGCAUCAAUAUGAACACUGCGGAAGGCCUUAGAACCGAAAGUAACCAUUUUACCUUUUUAUAUUAACAUGUGUAUAACGCAGAUUCACAACGCACAUACAUCAUUUCAAAAAACACAUGUAUAUAAAUUUUAUCCCUAUGACCAUUUUCGAAGAACUAAGUCAAUAGAUCACGAGAUUCACGAUGUCAUCAUGCAUAAACGUCUUAUUGUCAACGAGGACAUUGCCUACCACUCAAAGCAUAGCGUUGUUAAAUCCUAGAAAACACUCACAGCACACACUCACCCCACCCCUAUGAACACACGUAAGCAAACCUUACUCCUAUAAGUAUCUCCGAAGGAUUGAGUCGACAGAUCACGAGAUUCACGAAGUCACCAUAUAGGCGCCUCACCGUCGAUAGGGACGGCAGCUAACACUAUAGAACAAAUCUAGGAAAAUACGAGCACCCAUACCAAAUUGAGGACUAUGCAAGUACUCGUGCCAAGUCAAGGAUUUAAACCUAGAUAAACAAGUUUCAUGACAACGAACUCAACCAGUUGAUCUAUACUCUCGUACUUCGCUUUAAUAUAAUUUCGUGAUGUAUUCCCUUUAAUUUUUGAGUUAGUCAAAAUAGGCACUAACUAGUCCUCAACCUUUGAGACCUACUCUCCUACUCCCUUUGUUCCAUUAUCAUUUUUGACUUUUAGGUAUUAUUUAACCAUUUGUUUUAGUUAACUUUUUUACAGUUACAAAAUAAAUAAAUCAUUGCUAAAGUAUUUUUAAUGAUAAAAUAAAUUAUAAUAAAAUAGAUUAUAUAUAUAAUUUUUAAAUAAGACGAACAGUCAAAUAAAUGAUAUGAAGUCAAAGUACGUGGUAGUAUCGAGUAAGAGCCUGUUUGAUUCCUCUUGAUUUUUUAACUUCUAUCACAUCAAAUAUUCAAACGGUGUAUAUUAAAUAUAUACUAUUUACAAAACUAAAUUUUUUAGAUAAAUCUUAAGCAUAAUUAAUUUAUAAUUAAAUAUUAAUUAUCAAAUAAAGAGAAAAUAUUAUAGUACAUAUUGAAUUUUAACAUUCUGAACCAAACAUCCUCUGUCUGGAACUGCUUGGAAGAUCCGAUCCAAAUCGAACAGCACGCAAGCCAUGUUGAGUGCCGAUCCCUUUUAAUUGUCUUGUGCUACUCCUAGUCCUAGAUGCCUAGCUAGAUGCUCAUGUGGUGUACGUACUUCCUCCGUUUUUCGUUGUUUUCACUUUUCAAAAAAUAACUUUGACUAAAUAUAUAUUAAAAAAAUAAUAUUUACAAUAUACAAUUAGUAUUAUUGAAAAAAUAUUUUAAUCUAGUUUUUUAAUAAAUUUAUUUAGAGAUAAAAAUAUUACAUAUAUUUUUUAUAAAUUAAGUUAAAGUUAUUAAUAUAUAAAUUAUAGCGAUAAAUAUUUAAGGACAAAGAGAGUAUAUUGUCUUUAGCAGGUCGAUCAUCAAAGUGUUUUCUUGACACUUCACACUAACGGGGUGUUCAAGUAUCGUAGCAUUUUUAUUUUAUUUGACAAUUAGUGUCUAAUUAUAAACUAAUUAGGUUUAAAAGAUUUGUCUUGUAAAUUACUCUUUAGCUGUAUUUCUAGUUUCAUAAAUAAUCUAUAUAUAUUUAGUACUAUAUGUAUGUGUUCAAACAUUCUAUGUGACUGACGAUAAAGUUUAUCAAAGAGAACCAAAUGGGGCCUAAGGCCUUAGUUGCACCCAAGAUAACCUUUUUAAGAUUUCUCGUCACAUUGAAUCUUUGAUACAUGUAUGGAGCAUUAAAUAUAAAUAAAAAAUAAUUAAUUAUAUAUUUUAUCUGUAAUUUACGAAAUAAAUAUUUUAAAUCUAGUUAGUCUAUGAUUAAAUAACAAUUACCAAAAUAAAAUACUAGAAUACUCAAAUCAAAACAAUUUUGGAUCUUAACAAGACCAAAACUGUUCGUCGUCUACGGUUUAUCCGUCGGGAUGGAUGUGUGUUCGGUUGGUUCGACGGACGACAGGGCAGUGCUCUCCAGCGGUGGCUACAAGGCUAUCUUCAAUAUAGGAAACUUAUUUCACAAUCCAAAUUUAAAAUAAGUAUUUAACACAAUACUUAUAGCUUCUAGUAGAGUACCUAUAUAGAAGACCUAUUUUGGAUAUUAGGAUGUAACGUCCAGCCUCUACAAAGCCGGGUCCGCUUACAUCUGACAGUUUUUUCUAGAACGUAGUCAACCCUCACAGACCAACACCAGUCUUUUUUAUACACUUUGUCCUCCCAGAAAAUACUUCUCGGUCGGUCACUUCUUUGGAGAUGGGCUUCCGGAAAAGAAGUUGCAACUUGUUGAUAUGAGUCUCCUAUUAAUCCUAUUACAUAGGAGAGGCAUAACUUGGGUAUUGUCUCUCCUCAAGACCUAUUUGCAGAGAGUGCUGUCUUUUAGGUCUUGUUGUUGAAGAAGACUAAAAAUAGAUAUGGAACCUUUUACCUCUAGCGUUAUCCAAAGGACAAAUGGAUCUUGUAUUUUGGGUGACGAUUGUUGGAGCUAGUCUAGGCCUUGUUUAGUUCACCCCAAAACCUAAAAACUUUAGAAAGAUUUCUUAUUAUAUUGAAUCUUACAGCAUAUGUAUGAAACAUUGAAUAUAGAUAAAAAAUAACUAAUUGCAUAAUUUCUCUAUAAUUUAUAAGAUGAAUCUUUUGAACCUAAUUAGUCUAUAGAUGAAAAAUAAUUACCAAAUAAAAACGAAAAUAUUAUAGUAUGCAAAAAUAUUUCACCUCCUCAACUAAACAAAAGGCCUUACUAGUUGGAGUAGGAGUACUAGGAGUAGCCCUGGCGACCCACUUUAAAGUUUAGCUUCUUUGACAUCAUAUAUCCGAACACAUACAUAGAAUAUCAAAUAUAAAUUAAAAUAAUAAUAUUAAUUAAUUGUACUUGCAACUAAUUUGCUAGAUGAAUUUUUAAGCAUAAUUAGUCUAUAAUUUUUCAAUAUGAUGCUACAAUAAAUAGGUUGCUAAUGAUAGAUUAAUUAGAUUUAAUAAAUUUGUCUUGUAGAUUAGGACUUAUGUAAUUUAUUUUAUUAUUACUAUUCAACCCCAUGUGACAUUCGACGUGAUAUUCCUAAACUUUAGUUUGUCGAUUUAAACACCCGGCUUGGUAUGAAUGCAGGGACUAGAGUUUAGGAGAUGUUCCUGGUGUCGUAUGAGGUAUUCAGAUAGUAAUAAAAAGCUCAAUUAAUCUGUUAUGAGCACAUAUUUACUAUAGUAUCAUAUUGUCAAAUCAGAUGCGUUCUGAUUUGAUUUGGGCCUUGUUUAGGCCUUGUUUACCUCCUCAACAAAAAUUUUUCGGGACACUGUAGCACUUUCGUUUGUUUGUGGUAAUUAUUGUCCAAUCAUGGACUAACUAUGAUCAAAAGAUUUGUCUCGUAAAUUUCGACCAAACUGUGUAAUUAGUUUUUAAUUUCAUUUAUAUUUAAUACUUCAUGCAUGCGUCUAAAAAUUUGAUGUGACGGAGAAUCUUAAAAAGUUUUUGGAUUUUGAGUGGAAGUAAACACAGCCUAAUUAGUUCUAAAAAAUUCUGCAAAAAAUUUUAGAUUUUAUGUCACAUCGAAUCUUACGACGCAUAUAUGGAGCAUUAAAUAUAAAUAAAAAUAAUAACUAAUAGCACAGUUUGCCUGUAAUUUGUGAGAUAAAUCUUUUGAGUCUAGUUAGUUCAUAAUUGAAUAAUAUUUGUUAAAUACAAAUAAAAAUACUACGAUAUUCAUUUUGUAAUUUUUUUUGAACUAAACAAGGCCUUGUUUUGAUGCGGCAAAGUAAUAAAGUCUCUUUCAUCCGGAUCUAAGGCGGAUUGCGCCAUCGCGUACUGUCGCUUGCAUGUAGGGGUCGGAACUAUAGUGCAGUAGCCGUGAUCUGUGAAAGGUAGUAGCGAUAUGAUUCUGUGCACUUUGGUAAUUUGGCUUUUUGGAGUGAUAUAUACGCGCGAACAGGAGUCUGUGGAUGUAGUGGAGAUGAUGAUGCAUGACGUACGCCUGAGAGUGACGUUUCACACAUUUGGCAGCCUGGCAAAGGCAUCGAAUCUUUGUUCGCACGCAUAGAGCACUAAAUAUAUAUGAAAAUAAAAACUAAUUACACAGUUUAUCUAUAAUUUGUGAGAUGAAUCUUUUAAAUCUAGUUACUCCGUGAUUGGACAAUGUUUAUCAAAUAAAAACGAAAUGCUACAGUAGGCAAAAAUAAAAAAUUUUGCCAACUAAACAAGGCUUUUUGGGCGAAAUUUUUUCGCGGCACUGUAGCACUUUUGUUUGUUUGUGGUAGUUAUUGUCCAAUCAUGGACUAACUAGGCUCAAAAGAUUCGUCUCGUAAAUUUCGACCAAACUGUGCAAUUAGUUUUUAAUUUUGUUUAUAUUUAAUACUCCAUGCAUGUGUCUAAAGAUUCGAUGUGACGGGGAAUCUUAAAAAGUUUUUGGAUUUUGGGUGGAAGUAAACAAGGCCAAAAUGGUUACUACGCCGCUAGCUUCCGGGAAGUUUCCUUGGCUCCAAUUCAUCCUACAGUAAUUAGUCCUCACAUUGAAUAUUUAAACACAUGUAUUAAAUAUAAAUUAUUUACAAAACUAAAAACACAGCUAAAAAGUAAUUUGUGAGAUGAAUCUUUUAAGUUUAAUUGAUUUAUGAUUGGACACUAGUUAUCAAAUAAAAUAAAAUGCUAUAUUAUCUGUUAAACUUUAGCAUACCAAACCAAGCACCCCUUAAUUUCAUUUCGAGAACAAUUACGAAAACUACAUCGCGCGCUAUCAUGCAUGCAGCCGCUUCCCGUCGUCCCGUGCAGUCAGUCAUCACGCGAGCGAGCGCGGUGCACAUGCAUGCAUGUUGACGAUGUACGGUACCGGCAAGUAGUCCACAGCCUGCCCACACGUUACGUUAACUAGAGCUUGGACGUGGGCCGUGGCGAUUGAGGGCGGGUCAUGGCAAGACCAUUUAAUUUGGACGACCCAAAGCAUGACACGGCAUGAAAAAUUUUGGACCAUGUUGGCACAACAUGAAUAUGAAGGUCAUGUCGUACCCAAAAUAUCCAUACAGCGGGCUACAUGUCCCAACCCGUAUUUUGGGCCGUGCUUACGCCGACACGACCCAAAAAUAGAACGUAGAUAUUUCUACAACUAUACAAUAUAAUUUUCUAGCAUUUACUAUAUUAUCUCUCAUCUAAUUCUUCAAUAGAUUUGAAAAUUAUUAAAACUUUUAUUAAAAUAGUACACAUAAGAUAUAUAUAUAUAUAUAUAUAUAUAUAUAUAUAUAUAUAUAACCCAUCAAAAUAACUAGCCACCUUUGUCAUUUUAGCCUAUAUAGCACAUGAAUUUGGUCUAAGUCCAACUAAACUCUCCUAAUAUAUAUGAAUAUGAAUUUGAUGUUGUCAUAUGAAUAUUAGUUUGUAACUUGUUGGAGGCUUAAUAUGAUUUUCUUUGUGUAAAUAUAUGAUAUUUAUAUGUAAUUCUUGGGUAUACCAGCGGGUGCGGGUUACCCGUCGGGUAGAAAUUACCCGUGGGUGCGGGUAUGGAAUUAUUUUCCUACCCAUGUGCGGGUACGGGUAACCCGACGGAUUAAAUUUAGACUUCGCGGCUAUGGGUACGGGUGGCCACUACCCAUCAGGUACGUACCCGUUGCCAUCUAUAGUGCCAGCUAUGAGCCCGAUUGUACUAGUGGACCCCGAAUGUGUGUGAUGUGUUUUUUACAUAGCGAAGUAUAAAGACCGCAACUGACUUUUACUAUUUCCUUUAAUCAAAUAAGUUUACCCGUUCUCAAGUUUAAUUAGGUUGUACCGUGCUUGUUUGAAGUGGUGCUCAGAAAUCGUGGAGCGAUGCAUGUGUCAGGAUGCGAUGCCAGCUUUAUUAAAAAAAAUCAUUUCCUUGCGGCUGGAGCGAGCAUGUAACAGGAAAUAUAGUCAGGCAAGUGAUCUUUUUUAUGUGUAACUGGUUGGUUCCACGUGGGUCCGAGAGUGAUGCUCACCACUGCGACGUUUCUUUUUUUUUUUUUUGAUCAGCACUGCGACGUUUCAAGCACCCGAUGCCAAAAAUUGAAGUGUACACUUUUUUCGUAGCAUCAAUAUGAACACUGCGGAAGGCCUUAGAACCGAAAGUAACCAUUUUACCUUUUUAUAUUAACAUGUGUAUAACGCAGAUUCACAACGCACAUACAUCAUUUCAAAAAACACAUGUAUAUAAAUUUUAUCCCUAUGACCAUUUUCGAAGAACUAAGUCAAUAGAUCACGAGAUUCACGAUGUCAUCAUGCAUAAACGUCUUAUUGUCAACGAGGACAUUGCCUACCACUCAAAGCAUAGCGUUGUUAAAUCCUAGAAAACACUCACAGCACACACUCACCCCACCCCUAUGAACACACGUAAGCAAACCUUACUCCUAUAAGUAUCUCCGAAGGAUUGAGUCGACAGAUCACGAGAUUCACGAAGUCACCAUAUAGGCGCCUCACCGUCGAUAGGGACGGCAGCUAACACUAUAGAACAAAUCUAGGAAAAUACGAGCACCCAUACCAAAUUGAGGACUAUGCAAGUACUCGUGCCAAGUCAAGGAUUUAAACCUAGAUAAACAAGUUUCAUGACAACGAACUCAACCAGUUGAUCUAUACUCUCGUACUUCGCUUUAAUAUAAUUUCGUGAUGUAUUCCCUUUAAUUUUUGAGUUAGUCAAAAUAGGCACUAACUAGUCCUCAACCUUUGAGACCUACUCUCCUACUCCCUUUGUUCCAUUAUCAUUUUUGACUUUUAGGUAUUAUUUAACCAUUUGUUUUAGUUAACUUUUUUACAGUUACAAAAUAAAUAAAUCAUUGCUAAAGUAUUUUUAAUGAUAAAAUAAAUUAUAAUAAAAUAGAUUAUAUAUAUAAUUUUUAAAUAAGACGAACAGUCAAAUAAAUGAUAUGAAGUCAAAGUACGUGGUAGUAUCGAGUAAGAGCCUGUUUGAUUCCUCUUGAUUUUUUAACUUCUAUCACAUCAAAUAUUCAAACGGUGUAUAUUAAAUAUAUACUAUUUACAAAACUAAAUUUUUUAGAUAAAUCUUAAGCAUAAUUAAUUUAUAAUUAAAUAUUAAUUAUCAAAUAAAGAGAAAAUAUUAUAGUACAUAUUGAAUUUUAACAUUCUGAACCAAACAUCCUCUGUCUGGAACUGCUUGGAAGAUCCGAUCCAAAUCGAACAGCACGCAAGCCAUGUUGAGUGCCGAUCCCUUUUAAUUGUCUUGUGCUACUCCUAGUCCUAGAUGCCUAGCUAGAUGCUCAUGUGGUGUACGUACUUCCUCCGUUUUUCGUUGUUUUCACUUUUCAAAAAAUAACUUUGACUAAAUAUAUAUUAAAAAAAUAAUAUUUACAAUAUACAAUUAGUAUUAUUGAAAAAAUAUUUUAAUCUAGUUUUUUAAUAAAUUUAUUUAGAGAUAAAAAUAUUACAUAUAUUUUUUAUAAAUUAAGUUAAAGUUAUUAAUAUAUAAAUUAUAGCGAUAAAUAUUUAAGGACAAAGAGAGUAUAUUGUCUUUAGCAGGUCGAUCAUCAAAGUGUUUUCUUGACACUUCACACUAACGGGGUGUUCAAGUAUCGUAGCAUUUUUAUUUUAUUUGACAAUUAGUGUCUAAUUAUAAACUAAUUAGGUUUAAAAAAUUUGUCUUGUAAAUUACUCUUUAGCUGUAUUUCUAGUUUCAUAAAUAAUCUAUAUAUAUUUAGUACUAUAUGUAUGUGUUCAAACAUUCUAUGUGACUGACGAUAAAGUUUAUCAAAGAGAACCAAAUGGGGCCUAAGGCCUUAGUUGCACCCAAGAUAACCUUUUUAAGAUUUCUCGUCACAUUGAAUCUUUGAUACAUGUAUGGAGCAUUAAAUAUAAAUAAAAAAUAAUUAAUUAUAUAUUUUAUCUGUAAUUUACGAAAUAAAUAUUUUAAAUCUAGUUAGUCUAUGAUUAAAUAACAAUUACCAAAAUAAAAUACUAGAAUACUCAAAUCAAAACAAUUUUGGAUCUUAACAAGACCAAAACUGUUCGUCGUCUACGGUUUAUCCGUCGGGAUGGAUGUGUGUUCGGUUGGUUCGACGGACGACAGGGCAGUGCUCUCCAGCGGUGGCUACAAGGCUAUCUUCAAUAUAGGAAACUUAUUUCACAAUCCAAAUUUAAAAUAAGUAUUUAACACAAUACUUAUAGCUUCUAGUAGAGUACCUAUAUAGAAGACCUAUUUUGGAUAUUAGGAUGUAACGUCCAGCCUCUACAAAGCCGGGUCCGCUUACAUCUGACAGUUUUUUCUAGAACGUAGUCAACCCUCACAGACCAACACCAGUCUUUUUUAUACACUUUGUCCUCCCAGAAAAUACUUCUCGGUCGGUCACUUCUUUGGAGAUGGGCUUCCGGAAAAGAAGUUGCAACUUGUUGAUAUGAGUCUCCUAUUAAUCCUAUUACAUAGGAGAGGCAUAACUUGGGUAUUGUCUCUCCUCAAGACCUAUUUGCAGAGAGUGCUGUCUUUUAGGUCUUGUUGUUGAAGAAGACUAAAAAUAGAUAUGGAACCUUUUACCUCUAGCGUUAUCCAAAGGACAAAUGGAUCUUGUAUUUUGGGUGACGAUUGUUGGAGCUAGUCUAGGCCUUGUUUAGUUCACCCCAAAACCUAAAAACUUUAGAAAGAUUUCUUAUUAUAUUGAAUCUUACAGCAUAUGUAUGAAACAUUGAAUAUAGAUAAAAAAUAACUAAUUGCAUAAUUUCUCUAUAAUUUAUAAGAUGAAUCUUUUGAACCUAAUUAGUCUAUAGAUGAAAAAUAAUUACCAAAUAAAAACGAAAAUAUUAUAGUAUGCAAAAAUAUUUCACCUCCUCAACUAAACAAAAGGCCUUACUAGUUGGAGUAGGAGUACUAGGAGUAGCCCUGGCGACCCACUUUAAAGUUUAGCUUCUUUGACAUCAUAUAUCCGAACACAUACAUAGAAUAUCAAAUAUAAAUUAAAAUAAUAAUAUUAAUUAAUUGUACUUGCAACUAAUUUGCUAGAUGAAUUUUUAAGCAUAAUUAGUCUAUAAUUUUUCAAUAUGAUGCUACAAUAAAUAGGUUGCUAAUGAUAGAUUAAUUAGAUUUAAUAAAUUUGUCUUGUAGAUUAGGACUUAUGUAAUUUAUUUUAUUAUUACUAUUCAACCCCAUGUGACAUUCGACGUGAUAUUCCUAAACUUUAGUUUGUCGAUUUAAACACCCGGCUUGGUAUGAAUGCAGGGACUAGAGUUUAGGAGAUGUUCCUGGUGUCGUAUGAGGUAUUCAGAUAGUAAUAAAAAGCUCAAUUAAUCUGUUAUGAGCACAUAUUUACUAUAGUAUCAUAUUGUCAAAUCAGAUGCGUUCUGAUUUGAUUUGGGCCUUGUUUAGGCCUUGUUUACCUCCUCAACAAAAAUUUUUCGGGACACUGUAGCACUUUCGUUUGUUUGUGGUAAUUAUUGUCCAAUCAUGGACUAACUAUGAUCAAAAGAUUUGUCUCGUAAAUUUCGACCAAACUGUGUAAUUAGUUUUUAAUUUCAUUUAUAUUUAAUACUUCAUGCAUGCGUCUAAAAAUUUGAUGUGACGGAGAAUCUUAAAAAGUUUUUGGAUUUUGAGUGGAAGUAAACACAGCCUAAUUAGUUCUAAAAAAUUCUGCAAAAAAUUUUAGAUUUUAUGUCACAUCGAAUCUUACGACGCAUAUAUGGAGCAUUAAAUAUAAAUAAAAAUAAUAACUAAUAGCACAGUUUGCCUGUAAUUUGUGAGAUAAAUCUUUUGAGUCUAGUUAGUUCAUAAUUGAAUAAUAUUUGUUAAAUACAAAUAAAAAUACUACGAUAUUCAUUUUGUAAUUUUUUUUGAACUAAACAAGGCCUUGUUUUGAUGCGGCAAAGUAAUAAAGUCUCUUUCAUCCGGAUCUAAGGCGGAUUGCGCCAUCGCGUACUGUCGCUUGCAUGUAGGGGUCGGAACUAUAGUGCAGUAGCCGUGAUCUGUGAAAGGUAGUAGCGAUAUGAUUCUGUGCACUUUGGUAAUUUGGCUUUUUGGAGUGAUAUAUACGCGCGAACAGGAGUCUGUGGAUGUAGUGGAGAUGAUGAUGCAUGACGUACGCCUGAGAGUGACGUUUCACACAUUUGGCAGCCUGGCAAAGGCAUCGAAUCUUUGUUCGCACGCAUAGAGCACUAAAUAUAUAUGAAAAUAAAAACUAAUUACACAGUUUAUCUAUAAUUUGUGAGAUGAAUCUUUUAAAUCUAGUUACUCCGUGAUUGGACAAUGUUUAUCAAAUAAAAACGAAAUGCUACAGUAGGCAAAAAUAAAAAAUUUUGCCAACUAAACAAGGCUUUUUGGGCGAAAUUUUUUCGCGGCACUGUAGCACUUUUGUUUGUUUGUGGUAGUUAUUGUCCAAUCAUGGACUAACUAGGCUCAAAAGAUUCGUCUCGUAAAUUUCGACCAAACUGUGCAAUUAGUUUUUAAUUUUGUUUAUAUUUAAUACUCCAUGCAUGUGUCUAAAGAUUCGAUGUGACGGGGAAUCUUAAAAAGUUUUUGGAUUUUGGGUGGAAGUAAACAAGGCCAAAAUGGUUACUACGCCGCUAGCUUCCGGGAAGUUUCCUUGGCUCCAAUUCAUCCUACAGUAAUUAGUCCUCACAUUGAAUAUUUAAACACAUGUAUUAAAUAUAAAUUAUUUACAAAACUAAAAACACAGCUAAAAAGUAAUUUGUGAGAUGAAUCUUUUAAGUUUAAUUGAUUUAUGAUUGGACACUAGUUAUCAAAUAAAAUAAAAUGCUAUAUUAUCUGUUAAACUUUAGCAUACCAAACCAAGCACCCCUUAAUUUCAUUUCGAGAACAAUUACGAAAACUACAUCGCGCGCUAUCAUGCAUGCAGCCGCUUCCCGUCGUCCCGUGCAGUCAGUCAUCACGCGAGCGAGCGCGGUGCACAUGCAUGCAUGUUGACGAUGUACGGUACCGGCAAGUAGUCCACAGCCUGCCCACACGUUACGUUAACUAGAGCUUGGACGUGGGCCGUGGCGAUUGAGGGCGGGUCAUGGCAAGACCAUUUAAUUUGGACGACCCAAAGCAUGACACGGCAUGAAAAAUUUUGGACCAUGUUGGCACAACAUGAAUAUGAAGGUCAUGUCGUACCCAAAAUAUCCAUACAGCGGGCUACAUGUCCCAACCCGUAUUUUGGGCCGUGCUUACGCCGACACGACCCAAAAAUAGAACGUAGAUAUUUCUACAACUAUACAAUAUAAUUUUCUAGCAUUUACUAUAUUAUCUCUCAUCUAAUUCUUCAAUAGAUUUGAAAAUUAUUAAAACUUUUAUUAAAAUAGUACACAUAAGAUAUAUAUAUAUAUAUAUAUUUGAUAUCACGAGUGGAAAAUUAAAUUAGCAAAUAUAUUUUGAGGGUUGUGCUUGGGCCGGCACGACGCGAAGACGUGCCGACAUACCAUGGGCCGUGCUUGGGCUGAAGAAAAGAUUCACCAUGUCGUACUGCCAUAGCCUGACGGGCCUCCUACGCCUAAAGGUCAUGAUCUAAAGCGGCACGAAGCACGAGAGGGUCGCGACGUGCCGGCACGACAUGGUCUGAGUCCCAACUCUAGCAGCAACCCUUUCACAGAUCACAAUCGCCAGUCGGAGGAGGGUCAGGAAGGAAACAGGCGUAAAAUGAGUGUAUAAAUAUGCUUCCGAUCCACACAAGUCAGGAUAAUAUAGAUCAGUGUUCAACCAGAUAUGGUUCGUUGCCUAGGCCGGCUGCCGGGACAUAUCAAGUUAGUGCACAACACACUAGAUUUUUCACUUCUACAAGUAAAAAAAUGGACUUUACUAUACUACGCAUGCGUAGGAGGAGAAAAUUCCGCCUGCCCGCACAUCUCCUUCUUUCUCGGCUUGACCUUAUCUUUUUCCUCCCGCACUCGCCUAUUGCCUCCUUGGCCCACCCGGCUCUGAUGAUGCUGCCCUUGACCCCCUCUAGAUCUGGCACGAGUGCUCCCACCUCAACACCUCCUAUUGCCCCGCUGCCCAUCGCCCGUGGUGACCUCCUUCUCAUCCCCCCGCAUGCUGUCAUGAGCUUCGGCGAGGUUUUUCUUCUGCAGGGAGCUCUAGCCAUGGCGCCCCCACCCCGUCUUGGCCCGACUGCCUCCGCCGCUGCAAUACCUAAAGCCGACCUCCCACCAUCCCCACCCUCAUGUUGGACUGCCUCCCCUAAGUCCCUUCACUUCUAAGCCCGCCGGAGUUGGGAAAGAAGGGGGUGGCGCCACCACUGGAGUUGGGGAAGAAGAGGGCAAGCAAAGGAACACAUGCAUGGCAGCUGGGAGCUCUACGUGGCUGUCAAGAAGAAUCAGAUGACUGUUGGGGUGUAGCUAGCUCUAGCACGUGUGAGCUUGAAAACUAGACUUUUCGAAGACUAUUAGCCAUAGAAAUAUUAUUAUUAGCAGUAGUUGCAUUCUUCUUUUUAGACACAACCGCAGAUGUUAUAGGGUGAUGAUAGAUGGGCAACUCAAUAGCUAAUCCCCUGUUUCUAGACAUUGGUUUGUUUAAAGGUAUGUAUAUAUAUAGAUGGAUAAUUUUAUUGGGAGUGUUGGCGUUUCUUAGCGAAACCACUAAAGAUAGAGUUUGAGUCCAUCCCUAAUGAUAACACUAGAAACGUUCUUGGCAUAUCCAAACCACCAUCACUUCAGAAUGAUAACCCAAGGCUCUUUACGGCGUGGGCCUAGGCAGUGCAGUCUGGUACUGAUGAUUAGUAAUGCUAGAUUGGCAUUCCUAACCAUCCUUACUUACGAUAUGCAAAGCUGUGGCCCGGCGCCGGGUGAGUGCACAAGGAUUACAAUCUUAAGUAAAGGUACUUAGGUACGCCAAUCGAUAGCUCAGUAUGAAAUAAGAAUAACUCUGCAAGCGAACAGAACUAUCAUUGUAGCAUUUCAACCCGUAAAUGGGUGUCGUAUUUAUAAUUCCCGUAGGAAGGCAUUUAUAUCUAGCAUGAUUAUAACAUGAUUACUUAUUAAAAUGCAUGGUAAGCAUAGAGUAAACAGGGGUAAGAUAUGAUAUUUGGAGAUAGUGGACACACAUCUGGGUCAUCCUCAAGGAUAAAAGAUAAAAUAAAGAAUAAAAGAAUAUAAGUACUGAGUAGGCAUGGUUCGUAUAUAACUGUGCUAAGAACUGUUAGUAAGUCAUCUAACUAGCAUGUCUAGAGAUAGGAUCAGGUUUGAGAUGAUAGGGAGAUCCCCAUAGCUGAUCUGCCAGCAAAUAGAGACUUUACAUGACUCCUGUAACACCCGAUUUUAAGGACAAAAUCAGAUAUGCACCAUAUGUGAGUUUUAGAAGGCAAGCCUCACAUAUAGCUACAAAUAAGGGGUAAUAUCAAAGGACAACGCAUAAAUUACAUAGCGUACAUAGAAAAUCAGAAACAACCUUAGGUAGCAAACCACGGAAUAUAACUCCAAACUUCGGGUGUUAACUUCACUCUACAGGAUCCAACUGACUGGUUGAUCACAAGCCCAAUACUUCUCCUGAGGUGUGGGGGAGAUAGCAAGAGUGAGUCCAAGACGAACUCCGCAAGUAUAACAACUAGAUUGUAUAGAUCCCACAUUCUCAUGAUCAAUGUGACAUAAAUAAUAUAGAGCAUUAAACAAUAAUCAAUGAGUUUCUUAACACAAGAUUCAUCACUCUUAAUAUAAGAGUUCCCAAGGCCGCUCGUAACCGUGAGCACGGCUAGUAUACCAGUUUUUAACACUCUGCAGAGGUUGUACAUCUUUACCCAUGAGUCAUGAUUUACCCUUUUGCCUGAGGUGAUCAGCCUCGUAACCCACUACCAAGGUAGGUCGGCAGGGAUCACUAUGAAGUCUUUCAAAGGUUCGUCUAACAAGUUAGGGCCGCUUGGUUUCGGUAGUCAGUCCGUGUGAUUCUACCACUCGCAGGGAAUCCACGGUCUGCUAUCCCCCAUUUGCGCCACACGGGUAACCUCUAACAAGCUAGAAAAAUUACUCAUACUUGACUAAAGCCAGAGCCAUUAUAGCCCUCAUGGUUGCACUUUCAUCCCGGUUAUCACUUACGAAUAAAUCCUCAAGUUGCUAAAAAGUCAUUAUUAUCAUUUGUUGCUUUAUAUUAAUCUAGUCACAAGAUCAUAGUCAUAGAAUUAAAAUCCAAAUUCUAUACUUGCCUUAAUCCAAUUGCUCCUGCUGGUCUUACUUGCUUCCAAGACUCUGAUCUUGAUCACCGAAGUAAAGCUCACCGUCUACUCUCGAUCAUCGAUCAUCAACACACAAACAAUCGACGACAGACAUACACGAAGCAAACAAGAUUACAAUUAGAACAGUACACCAACAGAUCAAAAAUGAAAUAAAAUAUUUAAAAACAGAACCUACGUUUCACUACGAUCACAUAGAUACAAAGAUCACGAAAAUCGGAGCUAAAACGACCAAAUUACGGAUUUACGACGAUUUCCUAUAGCCAUUUAAUUAAUUAAACCUAACCCUGAAAUUAAAAAGUUGCAAACUACAGAAACAGUGGUACUACCAUAUAGAGAAUUUAAUUAUGAAUCUAACGUAAUUUGAACGGGUCAAAUCGGAGCUAAAAUGAAUAUUUUAUGGCCAAAACAAACUCAGUGGCAAUUCUGUAAUUUCCUAAAAGCGUAAUUUGACCUAACCGACGGGAAAUACGCUUUCUAAACGGCAAAGCGUAAUCUACGAAAUGCGCUAAGGACCGCGGGUUAAAUCGCGAAAAGAUAAGGGGCUCUUUAACAAAAUGUGCCCCCGAAGGGGUAUAGAGCAUCCAGGGCCCUCGGAUUAGAAACCGAUGGCCGAGAUUUGAGAAAGAGAUGAGAGAGGGGGGGAGCGGCGCGCCUGGCCGGAGAAGGAGAAGGAGACGGCGGCGCCACCAUUAACGACGACGAGAACUCGCUAGAGUUGGCGAAGAACGCGCUACGGAGCACCAUUUCCCAAACCAAAACUCCGGGAGAAAAAGGAGAGCGAGGGGAGUUCGCUCCCGACCCUAGCGAGGCCGGGCAGGGGCUCGCGCAGCACGCUCCAUGGCCGGCGGCCAUGGAGCUCGUCGGAGCAUGCGGCUAGAGCGCUAGAGAGCACCAAAUCACGAGAAAAUUGAUCGGGAAGAGCGCGGGGAAGAAGAGGAGCUCACCAACGCGACUAAUUUCGGCGGGGACGGCUCGGUUCUUCGAGUUUGAGCGCGGAUGUCGUCGGCGGCGUCCUUCGCUACGGCUGCUGCGCGCUCCAAGGCAAAGGUAGGGGCAGGGAGAGAGGGGAAUGGAGUGAGGAUGGGGCUCGGGCUCGCACGCAACUCAAAUCGCCAAGGCGCGGGGGCUAGUGAGUGGAGAACGUGGGAGCGGGGGCAGCAUCGGGUUGCUGUCCGCGGCUCUGCCGGAGAGAGAGAGAGCGGUUGGGGAGGAGGGGGAAGGAACUGACAAGCGGGCCCCGCUUGUCGGUGAGAGAGAGGGGAAAGGGGGAGAAAGGCCGGCUGGCUGGGCCGCGGCCCAGGAAGGAGAGCGCGGGGGGGGGGGGGAAUGAUAUGGGCCAAAAGCCGGAAAGGGGAAGGGGGAAAGAGAAAAGCUUUUUUUUCCUUUUUAUUUUCCAAGCAAAUUUUUCAAACUCUUUUCAAAAAUGAAUUUUGAAUUCAAAUUCCUUUGCUCAAAACCACUCAUCACAUAAAAGAAGUGCACCAGCAUGUAUGCAACAAAAUAUUAGUCUAAACUUAUAUUUAAUUUUAUUCUCCUAAAAUUUAUUAUUUUCCCAUAUUGAAAUGCUCACAAAAAUUAACUAUAAAAUCAAAUUCAACUAUUCAAAAACAAUCAAAUUUUAGGGUGUUACAAUUCUACCCCCCUUAAAAUGAAUCUCGUCCUCGAGAUUCGGAAGAGCCUCAGAUCCUCUGAGAGAAAUUGGAAAAUAUCUUGAUAAUCCUUUCAACUUCACAACUUGCAUACCAAAUGUAAACACUUAUACCUCAAGGUCACAGCUCGUGAACAACAUUUUCAUUGAAUAACUAUUAUUCAUAGUUGACCAAAGUCCAUCUUGACUACUAAUUUCUUUUAGCUUAUAACUCCAAGAGACAUGGAAACUUAAUAUGCAUUUGCCUCCUCAGGUAGGAGUGGACCACCGUGAUACUCAAUUCUUUUUCCUGACGGUGCUGUUAAGAGCAUUUUGUACUGGGUACCGAAGAUCACUCCUUUGUGUGCACACAACCAUCCAUUACCAAGGACCAAGGGGAUACCAAGUGACUCUAGCACAAUGAGGUUUAUAGUGAAGUUUUCCUUGUUUAUGACCAGAUUGAUAUUUGAGCAAACCUGAUCUGCUUGUAUUUCUCCCACUGGGGUUUGAACUAAUAAAGGCUUCUUCGUUGGACACUUUACCCUCUCGAUUGUCUUUACGAGGUCAGCAGAAAUGAAGGAAUGCGAAGCACUUGGGUCAAACAGGGCAAAAACUUGCACUGAGUCCACUUGAAUAUAGCCACCCACCACUUUGGUAGCUCCAAGAAUGUUAUGCCUAUCCACAUUGCUCAGUCUCCCAUUGAUAUAGUCUCGUUGCACCCUACUUCCAUGAGCAGGCUUCCUACGGCUUUUCCUUUUUCUCUUUCGCCGUUGUGGAUUCUGAUUUGAUUCACUUCCAACUUGCUCUUCAGUAUCAUUGUUUUGAUAAUACUCAGUUUCAUCAUACUCAUAACAUUCUUCAAAGGUAGGAUCAUCAUUCUCUUCCCACGUAUCAGUAAGAGGCAUCAUAUAGGGCUCAUGAUCCAUGAGAUACUACACUCCCUGUCAUCAAGUGACCAACGUCAAUGACACAAGAAGGAGAGAUGAUCAUAUUCAUAGAAUAUCUCACGAGACAACUCUCACUUCAAGAUAAGUUGAAAAUGCAUCAACCCGUGAUAUCAAGGUACUACCCCCCUUAAGAAAGGUCGACUAGGAGGCACAAGGAAGGUAGCUUGCACUUUUUCUUGACAAGUUAUCUUGCAUUGAGACCCUUUUGACAUCCCAAGGAACUUAUGUGCAAGGAAGAAACAAAUAUCCUGAUUUUCCUCACGAUAUGAAAAUCAGCAGCACAGUAAAAUGGACAUAACUCUUGUUCUGUUAAUCCAAUAGGGUUAUAGCUUAUACCGUUAGAAAUCUUAGAGAAUUUUCUACAACCUUUCUAUAGAACACUUUUCCAAAUUCUAUAGUUAUAUUUGUCCAAAACAGCAGGCAACCAAAACUGGUCCAGAUUCUUGACAGGACAUCUAUAUCGUCUUGUGAUUUUUGUAACUUCCAAACCAUAAUAGCUAUGAGGGUGAUUCUUGCGGUCAGAGAAAGAUAUUGAAGUCCACUCUCAUCCAGAAUUUUGUCAUGAUUUUUAUUCAUCCAAGAUCAGAGACAUAAGCCGAUAAAGAUGAGAUACUCUAGAAAGGCAGGAUAAGGUAACAAGAGAAAAAAAAACCAAAACCCAACUAUUUAUGUCAUUAAUCCUUAUGCCUUAGACAUGGAAACUGAAUGAAAUUGUAAAGAAACUCACAAGAUCAUUACACUCAUUACAAAGAUCCAAAUCAAUCAUAAACAUAAAGACAAUUCAACCAAGCAGUAAAGGUUCACAAGGCACACAAGCUCGACUUUCGCUGCUAGCGUUUUUAUUACACAAGGGCACAAACUCCUAUAUCUUAAACUCAGUGUGGCUACUUUCAUGAUGCAUCUAUUGAUUCCUCUGUGGACAAGAGUUUACAUAGUGUCCUUCCUGUCGGUAGUGAUAACACUUUUUUUUAGCUAGAUGCCUUGUGAUGUCAUUUUCAACUGAGGUGUUGCUCGAUGUGUUAUCAGCUCGCUGACUCUGAAGGUUUGUCUCUGGCUGGCUAGCUUUCUUCCUAACUUGGUUGAUCCUUUGAGGUUGAAACUCUUUAUAAGUGAUGGUCCAUCCAUCUAUGCAUACCUCAUGAGCAGUGGGGUUAGCUUGAGAAGUUUCUUCAUCUCCAAGGUUUGGAUUUUCAUGGCCAGAGUUCAAAGCUAAAUGUAACAACAUAGGAUUUGAAUGUUGUUCACUUCCCAAUGCUGGCUCUAGUGAUUUUGCCUUCCUCUUCUUAUCCUCAUUAGUCACACAAUUUGGUUUUAUCUUAAUUUCCUUUUUAGAUGACCUAUUCCGAAGACAAGGGAGACCAUAAUGCCUACAACAAUGGCAUUGAUCCUGAUAUCCCGAUGUACUACUACCAAGACCUCCAUGGGUUCUCAUAUUUUUCCAAGCUUCUGCUACUUGUCUCUUCACUGGUCCUGAGAUGCACUGCUGAGAGUUCCCAUUUUGAGUCAUUCCUUCCACUACUUGCUUUUGCAUGGCUAAAAGCUUCUCUUUGUUAAAUGCUUUUAUGGGUGGCGAAGCGAGGUCCUUUUGUCCAUUCAUGGCAAAGGUCUCUUCAUUAUGAGCCAUCUAAAUAGACAAGGAGGUUGGAUUUAGAAUAGAGACAAAGUUUUAAAAUAGAAUAGGGUAGAGGUAAGCAUACUUUUUAGCAAUUAUAAAGGUUAAGGUGAAAGCAAGAAGUAAGCAGAGAUAGAAGCACGCUAAAACGUUCGGUUCUAACUAGGCUUGCGUCCUACAGUCAGCAUUGCUUUGAUACCACUUUGUAACACCCGAUUUUAAGGACAAAAUCAGAUAUGCACCAUAUGUGAGUUUUAGAAGGCAAGCCUCACAUAUAGCUACAAAUAAGGGGUAAUAUCAAAGGACAACGCAUAAAUUACAUAGCGUACAUAGAAAAUCAGAAACAACCUUAGGUAGCAAACCACGGAAUAUAACUCCAAACUUCGGGUGUUAACUUCACUCUACAGGAUCCAACUGACUGGUUGAUCACAAGCCCAAUACUUCUCCUGAGGUGUGGGGGAGAUAGCAAGAGUGAGUCCAAGACGAACUCCGCAAGUAUAACAACUAGAUUGUAUAGAUCCCACAUUCUCAUGAUCAAUGUGACAUAAAUAAUAUAGAGCAUUAAACAAUAAUCAAUGAGUUUCUUAACACAAGAUUCAUCACUCUUAAUAUAAGAGUUCCCAAGGCCGCUCGUAACCGUGAUCACGGCUAGUAUACCAGUUUUUAACACUCUGCAGAGGUUGUACAUCUUUACCCAUGAGUCAUGAUUUACCCUUUUGCCUGAGGUGAUCAGCCUCGUAACCCACUACCAAGGUAGGUCGGCAGGGAUCACUAUGAAGUCUUUCAAAGGUUCGUCUAACAAGUUAGGGCCACUUGGUUUCGGUAGUCAGUCCGUGUGAUUCUACCACUCGCAGGGAAUCCACGGUCUGCUAUCCCCCAUUUGCGCCACACGGGUAACCUCUAACAAGCUAGAAAAAUUACUCAUAUUUGACUAAAGCCAGAGCCAUUAUAGCCCUCAUGGUUGCACUUUCAUCCCGGUUAUCACUUACGAAUAAAUCCUCAAGUUGCUAAAAAGUCAUUAUUAUCAUUUGUUGCUUUAUAUUAAUCUAGUCACAAGAUCAUAGUCAUAGAAUUAAAAUCCAAAUUCUAUACUUGCCUUAAUCCAAUUGCUCCUGCUGGUCUUACUUGCUUCCAAGACUCUGAUCUUGAUCACCGAAGUAAAGCUCACCGUCUACUCUCGAUCAUCGAUCAUCAACACACAAACAAUCGACGACAGACAUACACGAAGCAAACAAGAUUACAAUUAGAACAGUACACCAACAGAUCAAAAAUGAAAUAAAAUAUUUAAAAACAGAACCUACGUUUCGCUACGAUCACAUAGAUACAAAGAUCACAAAAAUCGGAGCUAAAACGACCAAAUUACGGAUUUACGACGAUUUCCUAUAGCCAUUUAAUUAAUUAAACCUAACCCUGAAAUUAAAAAGUUGCAAACUACAGAAACAGUGGUACUACCACAUAGAGAAUUUAAUUACGAAUCUAACGUAAUUUGAACGGGUCAAAUCGGAGCUAAAAUGAAUAUUUUAUGGCCAAAACAAACUCAGUGGCAAUUCUGUAAUUUCCUAAAAGCGUAAUUUGACCUAACCGACGGGAAAUACGCUUUCUAAACGGCAAAGCGUAAUCUACGAAAUGCGCUAUGGACCAUGGGUUAAAUCGCGAAAAGAUAAGGGGCUCUUUAACAAAAUGUGCCCCCGAAGGGGUAUAGAGCAUCCAGGGCCCUCGGAUUAGAAACCGAUGGCCGAGAUUUGAGAAAGAGAUGAGAGAGGGGGGGAGCGGCGCGCCUGGCCGGAGAAGGAGAAGGAGCCGGCGGCGCCACCAUUAACGGCGAUGAGAACUCGCCGGAGUUGGCGAAGAACGCGCUACGGAGCACCAUUUCCCAAACCAAAAACUCCGGGAGAAAAAGGAGAGCGAGGGGAGUUCGCUCCCGACCCUAGCGAGGCCGGGCAGGGGCUCGCGCAGCACGCUCCAUGGCCGGCGGCCAUGGAGCUCGUCGGAGCAUGCGGCUAGAGCGCUAGAGAGCACCAAAUCACGAGAAAAUUGAUCGGGAAGAGCGCGGGGAAGAAGAGGAGCUCACCAACGCGACUAAUUUCGGCGGGGACGGCUCGGUUCUUCGAGUUUGAGUGGAUGUCGUCGGCGGCGUCCUUCGCUACGGCUGCUGCGCGCUCCAAGGCAAAGGUAGGGGCAGGGAGAGAGGGGAAUGGAGUGAGGAUGGGGCUCGGGCUCGCACGCAACUCAAAUCGCCAAGGCGCGGGGGCUAGUGAGUGGAGAACGUGGGAGCGGGGGCAGCAUCGGGUUGCUGUCUGCGGCUCUGCCGGAGAGAGAGAGAGAGCGGUUGGGGAGGAGGGGGAAGGAACUGACAAGCGGGCCCCGCUUGUCGGUGAGAGAGAGGGGAAAGGGGGAGAAAGGCCGGCUGGCUGGGCCGCGACCCAGGAAGGAGAGCGCGGGGGGGGGGGGGAAUGAUAUGGGCCAAAAGCCGGAAAGGGGAAGGGGGAAAGAGAAAAGCUUUUUUUUUCCUUUUUAUUUUCCAAGCAAAUUUUUCAAACUCUUUUCAAAAAUGAAUUUUGAAUUCAAAUUCCUUUGCUCAAAACCACUCAUCACAUAAAAGAAGUGCACCAGCAUGUAUGCAACAAAAUAUUAGUCUAAACUUAUAUUUAAUUUUAUUCUCCUAAAAUUUAUUAUUUUCCCAUAUUGAAAUGCUCACAAAAAUUAACUAUAAAAUCAAAUUCAACUAUUCAAAAACAAUCAAAUUUUAGGGUGUUACAACUCCUACCGCAUAUCCGAACGUGGGGGAAUACGAAGGAUGACAGGGCUGUCUCCACCCUGCCACCUACCCCUCUGCCCGUGGGAUACCCGCAUAUCCAUUGUUCUCCGCAUACCUGAACACCAUGUUCACGUAUUUGGAAACAACUCUUAACCCCCGCGGGCCCCAACCCUUCGGAUUAACAGGCUAGGUUAAGAGCAACCGGAACGGCCAGUGAACCAUCAUCUCAACCCUAAUUCUACUUCUAUUCAUAUAAGUUAGAUGAACGAUGAAGAACAAGGAUGAAUAUAUCAAGAACAUAGCACAAGAACUAAGAACUAGUUCAUAUACUAUGAACAUGAUAUAGACAUAACUAUACUCUAGUUCAUAAGCACAAUUAUAUAAAGAUAACAAGAACUUGCUCAUGGAAGAAGACUGAUUAUGAUUCAUACCAAGAGGAUCCUUUCUUCCUUGGAGACAAGCUCUCCUUGGUAGCUCUUGCCUUGUUCUACUACUAGUCUAAUACUAAAGAUACAAGUGAGAGGUGUGAGGAAAUGUAGACUCCAAAUGAUGUGUGUUUUACAAAUGAGGGGGAGCCAUCUAUUUAUAGCCCAACUAGGACGGUUCGGGAGAUCUAAAUAUGGUAGUAGGUGAAACCGUCCAAUGCAUGGCGGCAUGCAACCGCCAGAGAAAGGUGGGGCCGGGUUGCCGCCACUGUUGACGGUUCUUAAGUAUUAAUUUUAAUUAUCAAAUAAACAAGAGAAAGGACCAAUAUGCAAACAACACCUAGAAUUAGGGUUUGAUCUGACAGAAUUCCACGAGUUUUGUUGUUUAUCUAUUUCUACAGGGGGUUAUCAGGAAAUAAGGAAGAAAGGCCCACAUGUCGGGAUUACAUAGAGAUAUCAACGCACCGCGUGAUUUUCUACCAUCUAGAAGACUCCAGAAGCCACAGGAAGAAGGCAGAGGCCGAAAGGGGCCAGGCCCAGGGCGCCCGCCCCCUACUGGACUCCAUUCAGGACUCUGUUCGCACACGAUAUUCCACCGACCUAAUGGAUCAAAGAUAAUGUAGUACCACCUCGCCUACCGACCCAAAAACGCAUAGAGGAGGAGGACUAUAUAAGGAGACCCCCCUGGCCCCUGGAGAAGACAAGAAAUUAUCAUAGAGAUUGAGGGGUGCCCUCGAAGGAAAACCUCUUCUCUAAAUAAUAUUUCUUUUUAGGCUUAGCAACCAAUGUAAAGUAGAAAUAGAUCUUCUAGUUUCUACUAGAUUGAGAGAGAUAGAGUGGAGGUGUAGAUUGGAGGAAGCCCGGCCUAUCGGUGUCUACUCCAAGCUUGUACCUGCGGGAUCAAGUUCUCCUAACCUGAAGCUUGCUCCUAGGAUUCUUCAGUAUUUCGACUUCUAAAUUCUAGUAAGUUCUUGUUGUAUUGUUCUUAUGGUUUAUGAGUUUACUUUAAUCUCUUCGCGUAGAGUUUAGAGUAAUCAUUGCUGGCAUAAACGUGGUGUUUAGGCUGGGGUACUCAUAGAUAUUCCCUGACUAGCUAGACCGUGGUAGUAGUGGGGAACGUGACAAUUUCGAGUUACCUUUGCAGACCAUAUCUCGUUAGCAGGAAGGAUAGGGUUUAUAGGUGCAGGUUGAACAUCCUUUGUGGUGUCUAGAUUCUGUUAGCCUCCCCAAUAGAACAGUAGAUCAUCCUUACCAAGGUUAGAAGGAGACUACGGUUGCAGUCUUCUCUAUUUAUCACUCACAUCGAGAGACAUUCUUUGUUGCAUAAAGGGUUAGUAGUAAUAGACCGGUUAGUCAGAUGCACUCUUUCUCCUAGUGGUAAAAAAAUAAAUACGAUACUCUGGAUAACUUCCCGGGUGAAGUGCUCACCGAUAUCCGUGCGCUUGCGGAUCAAUUCCUUAUUGCGUUCCCAAAUAUCAACAAGCAUUUCUGGCGCCGUUGCCGGGGAGAAAGACGGUUUGCUGAGAUAACCUUGAGUCUUACUACUAGCUUGUAUCUAUACUUUUAUCUUUUCUUAUCUUUUAUAUUCUUUAUUUACUUUCUUUACUCUUACCUUAUGGAAAACUAAAAUUCUAAAUCGAUCCAUGAGUCUGCAAUCCCUUCAGUAACUAACCUUUUACCAUGGGAAUCAUCACCGCCUAUCCAAACAUCCCAGUAUAAGUUAAGUUCUAGGUUGAUUGCCAUGAUUCAAAACCUAUCUUUUUCGGGAAAGGAAGAUGAAAACCCUUACCUUCACAUUAGAGAUUUUGAGCAAACAUGUGAUUGUCUUCGCAUCGAAGGCAUUUCUCAUAAAACUUUACGUUGGAAGCUUUUUCCUUUUUCCUUAAGGGGAGAAGCUAGACAAUGGUACAGUCAGAAGGUAAGUCAACAACGAGGUGAAUGGGGAGUUUUACGAGCCAACUUUUGUCUAGAUUUCUAUUCCCUUGACCGUAUAGCCAACCUUAGACUUGAAGUCCUAUCUUUUAAACAAAAAGAUAAUGAAAUUUUGGGAAAAUCCUGGAAACGUUUUUCUGAUCUUUUAGAAUCUGGUCCAAACCUUAAUCUUGAAGACCCUGUUCUUUUAUUUCACUUUUUUCGAGGUCUCCAUAAAAAUCACAAACAAAUGCUACACACAAUGUCUAGAGGUUCUUUCUUUCGCAUCCCUACUGAUGAAGCUAGAGUGAUCCUAGAUAGAAUCUGAGAAGCUGAGAUGGAUAAUACCCUUCAUGAUAAAACCUACGAAGCCGAAGUAGACACUCUGCCAAAUUCUUCAUUUACUUUAGCUAUCCCAAGUUCUGAGCCACAAGAGGAAGAAAUUCCACCACCGGACUUCAUGCUGGAUAUAGAAUCCGAUCUUUUUGCUGAUUUCGGAAACAUUUCAAAUUACCAUUCUAUUGACAAACCCCAAAACGGCCAGUUUAGCAUUUAUUUGCCAAGUGAAUAUCAAUUGAGAGAGCUUAUCUCAGUAAUGAGUAGCGAAUGGUUGGAGGAAUCAGAGCUUUCCUCUGAUGUGAUCCGUUUGGACACACCCUCUAUAACUAUACGCUGUGCUUAUAAUUAUGAUCGAUUUAAUGCUCUUUAUAAUCCUAUUGUGGGGAUCAACAUCAUGUAUGAAUCUUUUGCACUUAAACUAUUUAAAAAUCUUGUUUUAACCCCACAACAAAGGUCAUAAAGGAAUCUUCGGGACGAUUAGUCCCCAGUCUUGGAAUUAUUAAUGUCCUACCUCUUACGGUAGAAGGCUCCAUGGUUCAUUUGAACUUCUAUAUCUUUGAUACAUGGGACUUCGACCUGUUGAUAGGACAACCUUUUAGAGGACUCCUUUAUGAAGGUCAUACUGGAAAGCUACACAUUUCUUUUGGAAAAACCUUUAAAUUCCCAAUAACAAUUUCACACUCCUUAAACAAUAAGGCCGAAUCAUAUCUUUUGCCUGAUCCUAUGGAGGAGGUAAAGGCUGCAUCUCUAGAGCUUUUAGAUGAACCAGACUUAGAAGACGAAACUCCUUUCUUCAUAGAAGACGAAGCCGAGCCUUCUGAACCUGAACCCUUAGAUGAGUUUGCAGAAGCACCUAGACCCCCCAUAGAGCUUAAAAUUUUACCACCCGGUCUUACAUAUGCUUUCCUAAACAAUAAUCCAGAGUUCCCUGUAAUCAUUAGCGAUAAACUCACUCAGCAUCAAACUCUGCGAUUAAUGACCAUUCUUGAGAAACAUCACUCAGUGUUCGGCUACUCACUCCAAGAUCUUAUAGGAAUCAGUCCUAUGAUUUGUACCCAUCGUAUUCCAACAGAUCCUUCUGUUUCACCCUCUCGAGAACCCCAACAUAGACUUAAUAACACUAUGAGAGAGGUAGUUAAAAAGGAAGUUAUAAAGUUGCUGCAUGCAGGGAUUAUAUAUCAUAUGCCGCACAGUGAGUGGGUAAGCCCAGUGCAAGUUGUGCCUAAAAAGGGAGGCAUGACUGUUAUUAUGAAUGAAAAGAACGAGCUAAUUCCGCAACGCACCGUCACAGGAUGGCGGAUGUGCAUAGACUAUAGAAAACUAAACAAAGCCAUGAGAAAGGAUCACUUUCCUUUACCUUUCAUAGAUGAGAUGCUAGAGCGGUUAGCAAACCAUUCGUUCUUCUGUUUCUUAGAUGGAUAUUCAGGGUAUCAUCAGAUCCCGAUCCAUCCCGAUGAUCAAAGCAAAACCACUUUUACAUGCCCAUAUGGAACUUAUGCUUACCGUAGAAUGUCUUUUGGGUUAUGUAAUGCACCAGCUUCUUUUCAAAGAUGCAUGAUGUCUAUAUUUUCUGAUAUCAUUGAAGAGAUUAUUGAAGUUUUCAUGGAUGAUUUCUCUGUUUAUGGAAAAACGUUUGAUAGUUGUCUUGAAAACUUAGACAAGGUUUUGCAAAGAUGUGAAGAAAAGCACUUAGUCCUUAAUUGGGAAAAAUGUCAUUUUAUGUUUAGAGAAGGAAUAGUGCUGGGACACCUAGUGUCUGAAAGAGGAAUUGAGGUAGACAAAGCUAAAAUUGAAGUAAUUGAACAACUACCUCCACCUAUGAAUAUAAAAGGAAUUCGAAGCUUUCUUGGCCAUGCUGGUUUUUAUCGUAGAUUCAUAAAAGAUUUUUCAUUCAUUGCUAGACCACUUACACUUUUGCUAGCCAAGGAUGCUCCUUUCGAAUUUGAUGAUGCAUGUCUAACAUCUUUCAAUUUAUUAAAGAAAGCACUCAUCUCUGCACCAAUCAUUCAACCCCCUGAUUGGUCGUUGCCUUUUGAAAUUAUGUGUGAUGCUAGUGAUUAUGCUAUGGGGGCAGUAUUGGGACAAACUAAAAAUAAGAAGCAUCAUGCAAUCGCUUAUGCCAGUAAAACUUUGACAGGAGCUCAACUUAACUAUGCAACCACUGAAAAUGAGCUUCUGGCUGUUGUCUUUGCCAUUGAUAAAUUUAGAUCUUAUUUAGUUGGAGCUAAAAUAAUUGUUUACACUGAUCAUGCUGCACUAAAAUAUUUGCUCACUAAAAAAAGAUGCUAAACCGCGCCUGAUUAGAUGGAUCUUAUUACUCCAAGAAUUUGACUUAGAAAUAAAAGAUAAAAAGGGAGUAGAAAAUUCUGUUGCUGAUCACUUGUCUAGAACGAAUUUUAAGAGUCCACAGGAAACCCCCAUCAAUGAUUCACUCCGGGACGACAUGCUCUACGGGAUUAACAGGUCUGACCCCUGGUAUGCAGAUAUUGUUAAUUUUAUGGUUUCAGGGUAUGUACCGCUAGGAGCAAACAAGAAGAAGCUUAUUCAAGAAAGUCAUUCACAUAUAUGGGAUGAGCCAUACCUCUUUCGAGCUUAGGAGAUGUGUGACCACUGAGGAAGGAUGGAAGAUCAUCGACAGAUGUCAUUCAUCACCAUAUGGAGGUCACUAUAGAGCAUUCCGUACACAUUCAAAGAUCUGGCAGUGUGGAUUCUACUGGCCUACAAUGUAUGAAGACACGAAGCAAUAUAUCAGAAGAUGUGGGCCAUGUCAAAGACACGGAAACAGAAAUAGAAGGGAUGCAAUGCCACACACCAACAACCUUCAGAUUGAGCUCUUUGAUGUCUGGGGAAUAGACUACAUGGGUCCAUUUCCUCCAUCAAAGAAGUGUGAGUACAUCUUGGUGGCAGUUGACUAUGUCUCCAAGUGGGUAGAGGCAUUACCUUGCAAGCAUGCCGACAACGUCAGUUCAAAGAGGAUGUUUGAAGAAAUUAUAUUUCCAAGAUUUGGAGUCCCCAGAGUAGUGAUAAGUGAUGGAGGAGCACACUUCAUCGACAAAAGCUUCAAGCAAUAUCUAUCAAAACAUGGAAUCCAUCACAACGUCGCUACCCCCUAUCAUCCUCGGACAAGUGGCCAAGCAGAGACUUCCAACAAACAAAUCAAGAAUAUUCUUCAGAAGACAGUAAAUGAAACGGGAACAGCGUGGAAAGACAAGUUACCCGAUGCACUCUGGGCAUACCGGACAGCAUACAAGACCCCAAUUGGAAUGUCUCCAUACCAAUUGGUGUACGAGAAGACUUGCCAUCUACCUGUUGAACUAGAGUUCAAAGCACACUGGGCCAUAAAGAGAUGGAAUAUGGACCUAGAUGUUGCUGGAGAUUAUAGAAGAAUGCAACUAUCAGAAUUGGAAGAAUGCCGAGAGAAAGCAUAUCACAACUCAAAGAUCUACAAAGAAAGAGUCAAAAGGUGGCAUGACAAGAGAAUCAAGAAGGAGUUCACACCUGGAGAUAAGGUAUUACUUUUUAAUUCUAGGGUGAAGCUUUUCGGGCAUAGAAAACUCCGGAGCAAAUGGGAAGGACCAUUCAAGGUAAUUAAUUCAUCAUCCCACGGAGCUAUCACACUUCAAAGUGACGAAGGUACGUUAUUCAAGGUAAAUGGUCAAUGUCUUAAAUUUUUAGAGCCCAAUAAAGAAUUAGAAGAAAUAGACGUAGUCAAUUUUUACCUUCCCAUGGAGAAUUAGAGCCCGACCUUUUUAGUCUGAUGUUUUUGGGUCAUAUAUAUAUUUUUCUAAAUAAUUUUGCAUCUAGAAACGCUCUCGAGAAAGUGGGCCCACAGAGGGGCCAGAGAGAGGGCGGGCGCCCAGAUCAGGUGGGCGGGCGCCCAGAUCAGGUUCCCCCUCGGUCCCGAUUUUCUCUGUUAUGGAAAAUGCACUUAUGGUAAUCCGAAUAAUCCCUCAGAUGGAAAGUUUCGCACGCACAUCGACGGGAGCAACCCGACAACCCAUAGAGGCACUUUUUGACCCCUAUAUAAACAGACCCCUGACCUCAGUUUUCAAACACCAAGCCACCAAGCCUUCUCACCUUCAAUUAGAGCUUGAUUAGUUCCUUGCUGCUCCAAUAGCCGAGAAGUACCACAAUGAUUGGGAAGUCGUCCCCUUCAACCUCAACAUGGAGCCUGUGGAAGACCCCGAUGCACGUGCUCUCGUCCCGGCCAACACAGAGCGACAGCUAGAAGCCAUGCCAUUACGCCAACGCAGCUGCGCCCAAUCCUAUCAUGCUUAACCAGUUCUUACUGCACCGCCACAACCCCUACUCCUCAAAGGAUCAUCAUCCAAGACGAAGACCACCAUCAAGGUGCCAACCGGCACAAGGAUCCUUCCACCUAGACCCAAUGAGAGGGUCGUUGGAGUCAAGACCAACCAAAGCGGCGAGAUCAGCAGUAUUCGUUACACUACGGAGGAGGAAAGGCCUUACUUUGAAGGGAUUAGAGCAGCCAAAGUCCGUUUCAUCCCUCCAAAGGCAGCCCCGAAGUAUGCUCUCAAUGCUUUUGAGACACCUCCCAAGCGUCCCAAGACUAUAAUGGAUAUUGAUGAGGACGUUCGCAGACUAGACAGAGUUAUCAUAGACCUCCAGUCCUCGAUUAAUUCCCUCACUAGGCAGCUCUCUAACCACAAUACCAUUAUACUAGGCCUUAGGCAGGAUCUUGCCAGUGCCAACAAGAAGAUCAAGGAAUUAGAGCACCGCUAAGUUAUCUAGAUUAGACCUUUAGUCAUCUAUCUCUAAAUUCGGUUUAGGUUUAUUAUUAUCAUCAGUUUGUUACUAUUGCUAUCAGUUUACUACUAGUCUUUUGUAAUAAAUGCCUCAAGCUUAAUAAAAAGUAUUAUUAUUAUUAUUAUUAUGUCUUGUGUGUCUCUACUUUAUUUUUGUGCAAGAAAGCAGAAAACAAGUAUGGGGGAGAUCCCUCAACAUGCCAAACACACUCCGACUACACCACUCUACGAUUCAGGUACACACUCUGCACACUUUACUUUACACAUACACAUAUCUUGGAUUAUGCAGAAUAUUGUUUCCGACGUGAUAAAUUAAAAAGAUUAAAAUAUUUCUAAUCAUGAUUAAUCUCACUCUGUGAUAUUUUCUAAAACUUAUAACUAUUAUAAAAUCAUUUUAAAACCCUAUGUUACUUAAGUCAUUAUGGAAUGUGAGAUGGUAGAGUAUGAGUUUCUUAUUCUUAUCAUUGUUGCUUGGAGAAUUUGUUUCAAAAUUCUAGCUACCAUCCUCAGUGUUUUAUAUGCCUGAUAAAACUGAAAAUAUUAAUUAUGAUUAUAAAAGCUAUCUACUCUGUAUUGAGUUUGUUCAAAAUGAGUUAGACCCUUGUUGAGAGAUUUAUCAUGCUCCUAAGAUCAAGACAUUUAUUCAGAAAGAUUCACUCUUCCGAAGUAUUAUUGCAUUAGAGGCAUGGGCUAUGCAAAAAUAGAGAUAUUUCGAGGAAAUAAAAAGGAGCAAGUGCUCGACAACCUCGCAGAAAAAUGGGCAAGUGUCCGGCAGUAGAAUUAUGGAUACCUCGGUAUCCACUUAAAAAAAAGAAGAGAAAGAGAGAAAAGAAGAAAAUGAUAGCCCAUGGUCCCUCUAAUAAGCAAUAUGCCAGCAAGAGUUGACAAAGGUUUUAAUUUCCAAUGUCUUUGAUCUAAGAGUAUGACAUUCCCCUCCUCGGAUCCUGUUUUGAUCAGGAAAUAAAUACAAAGUAAGUAUGCUUAAGAAUUUUUGCAAAUUAAAACAGCCUUAGUGAGAUAUAUAAAAGAUAAUGAGUGAUCUGAGAGAACCUAUGAGGAUAAAAAGGUAUGCUAACUUUUCUUUCAAAAAUAUACAAAAACUCCAAGUGACAAGAUUCAAAAGAAAGGAUCUUUACUCUUAACCAUAUACUUCCCUUACUAUAGUACACAGUGGAAAUUUAACACCCUGCAGUUAUAAAAAGAAUGUUUUAAAAUGUUUUACCCCAAAUAUUGUUCUUAACCAUCCUUUUCUCGAGGACGAGUAAAAGCCUAAGUAUGGGGGUAUUUGUUGACAGUUCUUAAGUAUUAAUUUUAAUUAUCAAAUAAACAAGAGAAAGGACCAAUAUGCAAACAACACCUAGAAUUAGGGUUUGAUCUGACAGAAUUCCACGAGUUAUGUUGUUUAUGUGUUUCUGUAGGCGGUUAUCAGGAAAUAAGGAAGAAAGGCCCACAUGUCGGGAUUACAUAGAGAUAUCAACGCACCGCGCGAUUUUCUACCAUCUAGAAGACUCCAGAAGCCACGGGAAGAAGGCAGAGGCCGAAAGGGGUCAGGCCCAGGGCACCCGCCCUGGUGACCUGGGCGCCCGCCCCCUGCUGGACUCCAUUCAGGACUCUCUUCGCACACGAUAUUCCACCGACCUAAUGGAUCAAAGAUAAUGUAGUACCACCUCGCCUACCGACCCAAAAACGCAUAGAGGAGGAGGACUAUAUAAGGAGACCCUCCUGGCCCCUGGAGAAGACAAGAAAUUAUCAUAGAGAUUGAGGGGUGCCCUCGAAGGAAAACCUCUUCUCUAAAUAAUAUUUCUUUUUAGGCUUAGCAACCAAUGUAAAGUAGAAAUAGAUCUUCUAGUUUCUACUAGAUUGAGAGAGAUAGAGUGGAGGUGUAGAUUGGAGGAAGCCCGACCUGUCGGUGUCUACUCUAAGCUUGUACCUGCGGGAUCAAGUUCUCCUAACCCGAAGCUUGCUCCUAGGAUUCUUCAGUAUUUCGACUUCUAAAUUCUAGUAAGUUCUUGUUUUAUUGUUCUUAUGGUUUAUGAGUUUACUUUAAUCUCUUCGCAUAGAGUUUAGAGUAAUCAUUGCUGGCGUAAACGUGGUGUUUAGGCUGGGGUACUCAUAGAUAUUCCCUGACUAGCUAGACCGUGGUAGUAGUGAGGAACGUGACAAUUCCGAGUUACCUUUGCAGACCAUAUCUCGUUAGCAGGAAGGAUAGGGUUUAUAGGUGCGGGUUGAACAUCCUUUGUGGUGUCUAGAUUCCGUUAGCCUCCCCAAUAGAAUAGUAGAUCAUCCUUACCAAGGUUAGAAGGAGACUACGGUUGCAGUCUUCUCUAUUUAUCACUCACAUCGAGAGACAUUCUUUGUUGCCUAAAGGGUUAGCAGUAAUAGACCGGUUAGUCAGAUGCACUCUUUCUCCUAGUGGUAAAAAAAAUAAAUACAAUACUCUAGAUAACUUCCCGGGUGAAGUGCUCACCGAUAUCCGUGCGCUUGCGGAUCAAUUUCUUAUUGCGUUCCCAAAAACAGCCACCAAGGUUGCGCCUGUUGGGUAUUCUUAACAUCAUUACCAAAAGUAGACUAAGUUCUCUAAAUCUAGUAACGGUGCCAAAAAUGCCAAACAUAUCUCUCACACCACUUAAGCCAAGUUGUCAUCCCCAGCAUGAUAUAAGAGACGCGGUAUUGAAAUAUGCAAUUGCUCUUCUAAAUAAAUAAUAAAUGAUAUCUGCAAGCGCACAGAUUAAUACCGAUGUAUCAUUUUAACCGGGAAGUAUUCCAGGUAUCGUUAUUUAUAUUUUUACCACUGGGAAGGGAUUAACGAUCAUCACUAUUGAUUACAGAAUAGAAUAUGAGAUUGAGCAUCUAUCAUUGCAUGUAUAAUUGAGAACAUUAUAUCUAACUCUUCAUACAGGGAUAAGUGUCACAUAAAAGUUAUAUGAAAUAAUAAUAGUGACAAGGAUAACUAAUCUGAUCUAGCCACAUAAUAAAUAUGAUAAGCACCUCAAUUAGAUACUCUAGAAAGUCAUUAGCAUGGUAUUAGAACGAACUACAAGAAUAUUCCCUAAGUUAUUCUCAACUAUAUAGUCUAGCAUUAUCAUAGUUAGUGCAAGCAUACUUAGCAAUCAUUGCGAGACAAGACUACGCCCAUGCAUAGUGAUAUUAGCAAGGAAUAUGAGAAACAUAGCAAUCACUCCCCUGUAAUAAUGUUGCUCUGCCAGCCCAAUACACGAGAGGGGGACUAUAUAAGAAUCAAUGAAGCUGUCACUAUCACGAACCACCCCACGAUCUGGCAUAUUGGGUACAAUCGCAGAUAAAUACGGUAUAAGCACCACGCCUACACAAUAUCUAUCAUUUACCCAUGGAUCCGAUGGAUAAACGCUAUACGAUCCUAAGCAUGUAUAUAGAUCCAAUCUAACUAAGCCAAGUACAUAACUAUGAUAAACUAAGAACAAUAUAAUCUUGAAUAUAAGCAAGUAGAGCAAAGUCAUAAGCAAUAUAUUGAAGUAGAACAAAGUCAUAUUCAUAAUAUUGAAGAACAAAGAUAAUUAGAAAGCAAUUAGAAGCACAAUUAGAGAAUUACCAAGAAUCCUCUUGACAGAUCCGGAAACCAAUCGAAGAUUGACUCCUUCUAGUUCUAAUCCUAUGUAGCUAUGCUAAUCUAGAUAUCUAAUUGAUGUGGUGGCUCUAAUCUUGAUCAGAGGCUUCUUCUCCCUUGAUGGAACAAUGAAUUAGGGUUGAGAGGCUCUCUCCUCCAGGGGCCAGGGGGUCUGGUUUUAUAGUCCCUUCAAGUGAAUAUGGGCCCUUGGAUCAAAUCGACAUAGAUUGUAUGGUUUAGAUUCAUCCUUUAGGUCGGUGGAGAUCUCCCGCAAAGCAGAGUCCUGAUUGGACUCAGAGGCAGGGCGGGCGCCCUGACCAACUGGGCGGGCGCCCAGGGUCUGGCCCCGUUUCGCCUCCGCUUCGGUCUCGUGGCUUCUGGAGUCUUCUAGAUGUAAGAUAAUUGCGCAGCACGUUAAUAUCUUUACGUAAUCCCGACAUGUGGGCCUUUCUUCCAUAUUUCCUGAUAACCCCCUGCAGAAAUAGACAAACACCAAAACUCGUGGAAUUCUAUCAGAUAAAACCCUAAGUCUAGAUGUUGAUUUCAUUUGGAUCCUUUUCUUUAUUUAUUUGAUAAUUAAAUUUGAUACUUAAGGACCGUCAACAAACUCCCCCAAGCUUACCUCUUGCUCGUCCCUGAGCAAGGAUAGACUCAGUUAUGGAUCAUAAGUUGUUGCAAUAUCUUUAAAAAUUUGACGGUACACAUGCUUUUAAAUAAGAUCUCAUCUCGGAGUUAGAGUAAACUGUCAAGACUGAAAACUUACUUACUUUACCUUCACCAUGGGACUUGUAACCGUCACUUCUGUCUUGAGUGGUUAAAAGAUAGAACAGUCUAGUCAAGUGCCUUGUCUCUUAUUCUUGAUCAGCUAUAGCUCUGGGGUUUUUGCAGAUUUUCAAAUAAAACUCAGAGAUUCCUUGUAUGAUUCUCUCAGAUCUCUCUUUUGUGGUAUUUCUGGAUCCUUACCAAGGCAGUGAUGGUAUAUGCCUUCUCUCAAGAUAUGUAGUAUUUGUGGCAUAAAGCUUAGUGACAUUGCCUUCUCUCUCACUCUACUCUAAUAAGGCUUUAAUAUCUGGAGCUCAUAGGUGAGAGAUAAAGUAUACAUACUUACAAGACAUGUAUUGCAUAGUCAAACCAUGGAUCCAAAGAAACAAGCCAAUGAGUUUAAUCAAGAUGUGCAUGUGUGGCGAAUGAAUGAUGUAUGGUGAUGAUGGUGAUAACAAUGGUGGUGGAAGUCUAAUUCUACUUUGCUCUUUGAGGGGAUACAUACCUUCCUUGCUUUUUGAAUAGUGAGGAGAAUGAGAUGCUCUAUAGUUUUCUUUUCUCUCAGUUGGGUAUCUUGUACCCCUAAUUCUACUGUCGGACACUUGUCCAUUUUUACCUCUCGUCUCACUUUUUUCUUUUCUUUCAAGGUUCCGAGCACUUGCUCCUUUUUAUUUCCUCGUUUUUUUUUCAAUCAUUCAUAUCUUGAGAUAAUAUAGCAAGUGGUAGUAACAAGAUAACUUGAGCAUUUAUUUCACAAGGGAAAACAGAAAUAUUUUUGGCUAUUCUCUCCCGGAUUAGGAGUAGAAUAUUUUUGGGUAAUUCUGGCGAUGGAAAUGAAUGGAUAUAUGUGGAUGGUACUUCCGGAGUAGAAGUAGCAUAUACGAGUGAACGUGCAAGUGAAAUCUUGAUUUAACCACAUGACAAGCUCCUAAGGGUCUACACAGCUUGACCACACUCAAUGCUCAUAAGCAGUAAAUAAUAAAUGUGUGGCUCAAAGUCUAGCAAGCAUGUAUAUAUGGCUGUGGUAGGAAUUUAAACUCUCAUCAUAUAGGAACUCAUCAUGCAACAUUUUAAAGAUUUUCAAAGAUAAAAUUCUCCAGAAUUCUAGCAUCUCUAGGAACAGAUAAACAGCAGCUCAACCUUCCCAUAUUGUAUCCGUUAACAACUUAGACUUCAGAUCAAAUUUUUAUCCCACAAGUUUAUGUCUAGAGCAAGCUUUAAAUUAUAACUGUUAUAUCUAAACUUGAGAGAGAAAUUAAAAUUAAGCAGAGCAACUAUUCAUCAUAUCCAUGCUUAAGUUUUAUUUAGAUACAGAUUAGCAUAGCCACUUUAUUUAUUUAUUAAACACACUAAGCAAAAGAUAUAUAUAUAUAUAUAUAUAUAUAUAUAUAUAUAUAUAAGCACAAAAUCUUUAUUUGGUUUUUCAUAGUUAUGUGUAUUUAUAUUCUAAAAUAAUAUAAGUAUAAAGAUAGAUAGAUAGAAAUACUUAUCGAGAUAAAUGGGGGUGCUCUCCCCCAAGCUGAAUUUUGACGUAAUUUCUCUUGAUGUAGCUAGCAGGUGGCAGAGGUGUAUUUGAAAGUCAGCAGCAUUCUGACAGCGAUUAGAGUGUCCUCCGUCUGCCAGUCUUCUUGAUUCUUAAAUUCUGUGGAGCUCAAAUAGACAACAAAGCUUGUUGAACUUGAUUAAGUGUUAGCAUAAAUAUCUAGCCUUUAUCAUGUUGAGACUCCUUAAUAAAUAUUACUCCCUAUUUUUAUAUUUUUGUUUUUAUAAAGCAGAAAAAUAUUUAUUUUAUUUUUAUGCCACCACAGUGAAUGUACUUAUUGGUUUUAUGCCACUCGUCUACUCACAUGGGGCUUACUGUUUUUCACAUUUUUUUAUUUUCUUUUAUUUUUAAGAUAGUAUGAAUAUGAUUAACUAAGUAAACUAAUUGAAAUAAUUGAAAGGAAAAGGAUAACUACCAAGUUACCUCUUGGCAAGGCGUUCGGUGUUUUUAAGUCCUCCGAACGGGACUCUCCAUUUUCUUAAUCGUCCUGAGGUUCGCUGGGUGGCGUAGUCGGUACUUCCGGCAGCGCCUCCUCUUCAUGUAUAGUUAUCUUCAUUUUCCAUACCUGACUCGGUGCUUCAAUCUCCUCUGGAUAAUUCUGUUUAAACUCUACGUCUUCUGACCUUAUAACUUCUCCUUCGUAGUCUGCCCAUCCGUCCUUGAUGAUCUGCCUCCUCUCGUUGCAGUUACGUCUUUUCCUUACCUGCUUAGAUUCUUCAAUGAUAUAGUUAGGGUCAGUAAAAUAACGGCGUACCUUCUCUGGGGGGAAGUGCAUAUGGACUUCUCCAGUUCCAAUGUAGAUAAUUGCUUUAACGGUACUGAGGAACGGUCUUCCAAGGAUGAUGGGUGGAUCAUACUCAUCUUCUCCCAUGUCAAUAACUUGAAAGUCUGUGUAGACAAAGUGAUCGUCUAUUUUGACUGGGACAUCAGUUACUAUUCCCUUGACUUCUCGAAAUGUUUGAUCUGCCAUCUGGAGCUGAAUGUAUGUUGGUCUUAGUGGCAUGGUUCCGAAUAAGAGCCGAUAGGUGACUGCGGCCAUUAUGUUGACGCCCGAUCCGGUGUCGCAAAUCGUCUUGUAGAAGUUGUAUCCAUUUAUUGAGCAGUAGAUGCUUGGCAUUCCUGGGUCAUCCUUCUUGGUCAAAAGCGGUGACUUAAGUUGGUGAUCUUGGCCUCCAUGAACUACAGUGACCAUCUUAGCUGACUCGGUCCACACUUGCUUGUUCCUGUUUCUCCUGUUGGUCCUCUUCCUUGACUCACGUCUGGAUUGAUUUGGAAUUUGUGUAGUCUUGUUCUUGAAGAAAAAUGUCUCCUUCUUCCCUUUGACGUAGAAACUGAUCUUAGCAGCACUGGCGUAGAUGAUAGCUCCCGUGGUGUUCAAGAAUGGCCUCCCUAAGAUAAUAGGUGCUCUCUCAUCAUUUCCGGUCUCUACCACUACAAAGUCUGCUGGGGCAUAUAAGGUACCAACUCGGACACAAAGGUUCUUCACUAUUCCUUUUGGAAAAGUUAUCGUCUGAUCUGCAAACUGCAAACACAUGGUUGUCUCUAAUAAAGGAUAUGUAAAGAAUUUUUCAUAGAGUACCCUGGGUAUAAUGUUGACACUGGAGCCAAAGUCACAGAGUGCUUCUGGAACGUCCACCAAGCCGAUGGAGAUCGGGAUGACGGGGCAUCCUGG
rnacentral:lncRNA from 1 species